rnacentral:lncRNA from 1 species
AAUUAUUAUUAAAUUAUGUAAAUCAGUUCCUUUGUCCUUCAUGCUAUGGCUAAGUACAUUUUCAUGCUUGUUGCAGACCUCUGUGGUUAAUGUAGUGAGACCCUGCUGGAUCUUGAGCCAUUUAAUAUGAUGUGGCACUUGAGCAAAAAUGGAAACCUCGUGGACAGUUUGAUGUAAUUAUUAUUGCUUGUAAAUGGUGAUACAAUGCUGCUACCCUUGCUCUUUCUCUCACAACAGCAUUUUAUAGUCUUAAAAUUUUGCAUUAAGAAAAUGAAUGUUUUUGUUAAUUGCAGUGGCAAAAUGUUAAAUGGGCUUCGCUAUUGGGGGAGAAAAAAAAAAUUCGAUUUUACAUUCCAUCAUUACCUUGGAUUCAGGAGUUGCAAAGGUUCAAGUUUUGUACAGCAAUACAGGGAAACCCUCUGCAAAUGCAAACCCCUAUGAACGGGAUCCCACUUCAUGACAAUCCUUGGGGGUUUUGAGUUGGAAUAAUCUGGCAGGUUAAAAGUUGUGCCAAUUAAUUAUCUAUAGAAGUAGUGCCAAUUAAUUAUCUAUAGAAUACAUGUUAUGUUACAUUAUAUGACUAUAUAGUGAUUCAUUGUGGGAUACUAGGAUAUCAAAAAGAGCUCAAAAUUUCAUACAGAUUUUCUCCCUAAAUUUGGUCAAAAACUGAUGGAUAGAUUUCAACUAAGCUUUAUGGCAAUUUGUAGGUGUAAACAUCUAGAAGGCUGGGACUAAAUACCAUUUGAUUAGGUUAGAAUAAUAUGAGCUGAGCUUUUAAUCUAUGUUAUUCAUUCAAUUGCUUUUUCAGAUGUCCACAAUUCAUCAUGUUUCGAUGCUUCAUGCUGCAUUUAUCCAGUUUGUAGAGGCUGGAACUAAGUUCUAUAUGGACACUUCUUGUGGCAUCUGAGGAGCCCCGUCUGCUAGGUAGUGUAGCAUCAUUUAAGGAACCUUUGUUAAAGGCGUUGAUUCUGUCUCAUGGAUGGCAAAUAACUCAGCAGCGAAGCUUUUAAGUUUUUGAAGUGAUGGUCCUCAUUGUUGGACCUUAUUCAGCACUUUAGCCUAUGGAAAACAAAACAAGGUUCCACAGGUCUGUUUGUACAUAAAUGUGUGUCUUAUUUAAAAUACUUGUUUUCACAAUAUGAUAGCAUUGACACACCUUUUUUAUCAAUUGCCUAGACCUGUUGAAUCCAUUCAUACUUCAGCUUGAAAUCCGAGCAAUUGAAACAAGGCUGCAAUGAGUUCAAUUUUGGACUAUCCUUGUAGUUGUCUUAUUUCCCUAACGGAUGUAUCUUUUAAGUGCUGUAUUAGGCAUACGAAGUUUAUUAAAUGAAAGCAAAUCAGGAGUUGGUCGUAAAUUGGUCUUAAAAGCAUGUUGUUCAAGGAAUGCAAUACAAACGGUAAGUUUAUUUGAGACAAUUCAUAGGGCUUCCCUUGAGUCAAAAAUAGUCAUAUUACCAUUUAAACUGACAUGAUAUGUUCUUCCAGUUUAUUCAAAGAAUUAUGAGAAGAAUCUCGGGCAUGUUAAUUGAAAAAUGCCCAAAAUGGACUGUUCAUAUUCAUGCCAUAGAAUCGCAAGUAUGUUAGUUUUAAACUCCAAUUAAAUGUUCUAAUCUUUCUUCAUUCAUUUAAGCAUGUGUUCCAUGAUUCAUGCUUUCUUUUUCCCCUUUUAAUUUUUCCUCUUGUUCUGUUUUAGCUUCCAUAAUAUUGGGAAUUGGUUGUUAAUGAUUUUGGGAAAAGGACUUGUUUUAUUUGGAUCCUAAGAGUGGCAGUCCUGAUCGUAAUUAUGUUCUCUUUUCCAUUUGACGCCAUUCAUAUUUAUAGGUUUCUUCAAUAUAUUUAAGAAAUAACAACUGUAGUUAUUUCAUACAAUGCCAUGACACUGUUCACUACGUAGUAUCUAUAGUAAGGAAGAAAUGAAAUUAUAGAUCUAAGAUAAGAUUUGUGGAGGUAAAACGCACUAUCUUACCUAAGUGCAGUGUGGCUAUUACUUUAACUAAAACAAAUGAGAUUUGUCACUAAUUUUUUAGUUUUUAACUGUGAAUAGACCCGUAACAAGUGGGAAAUGUGGAGUAUGGCCAUUAUGUCAUACGCCCUCUUGCUGACUCUUUAUUAGCCCAGGUGACAAAUCUUUGUUUUGCUUUUGUGUCCCUUUCUUGUUGAUUCUAUCAUGUUUCUUUGUAUUAAAAAGGGGAAAACUGUCUAAUUAAAUCACAAUGGUAAGAAACCUAAGUAUUGUUUUGAAGUUUGCUGGAAGGUAGUGUUGCUGCUUGGGUAUUCAAAGUCCCAAAAUCAUUAUACCUUUGAGGUUUGGCCAGAGAAGGAAGAUAAGAGUAUAUGAAACUAAAAGCUACAAUUACAUGGUCACAUCAUUUUAAUUGCUUAGGCUGCAUGGCUACACUUAAUGAAAUGUGCCAAUAAUGAUCAUAACUGAGGAAAAGAAUAACCAGCACGAACAUUUUGCACCGCUGUAUGAUGUCUACAAUUCCUGUGAAGUAACAGGCUCUAUACAUGGAUAAUGGAUUAUUAAUAGUGAGUUGGAGUUAGUUAUAUACAACAUCUUACAUUGUAUACCUUUAUUUUUAAAUUAUGUAAAUAAGUUCAUAUGACCUUCAUGCCUUGGUGUAAUGCAUUUGAUGCUUGUUGCAGACCUCUAUGGUUAAUGUAGUGAGACCUUGCUGGAUAAGUAAUCUUGAGCCAUUUAAUGGGAUGUGGCACUUGAGGGAGAAUGGGAAACCUCGUGGGCAGUUUGAUGUGGUUAUUAUUGCUCAUAAUGGUGAUUCAGUGCUGCUAUCCUUACCGUUCUGUCUCUGUGUGGAUGUUAUAGUCUUACAUUUGCAUUCCAAAAACGCAGGUUUUGUUUUUUGCAGUUGCAUGAAUGAGAAAAUUGGCUUUGCUAUUGGAAAAAAAUAAAAUAUUUCUUAUUUUACUCUCUAUCAUUACAGUGGAUUAGGAAUGGCAAAUAAUCUGGUUUGGCACGGGGAAACCCUGCCCAAAUCCAGACUCCUAUGGAAAGGGUCCCUCUUCCUAACCAACCUGGAAUACCCUGGCGGGUUAGAAUGCAUAUAGUAGUACAUUGUAUGACUUUAUAGUUUGCUGAGUUCUUAUGUUUUUUGGGAUAUUAGGACUUGCAGACUUUUCACUGUAAAUUUGGAGAAAAUGAUGGCUAGAUUACAAGUAAGAUUAAGAGCAACUUGUAUAUUUAGACAACUGGAAGACUGGUAUUGAAUGGCUAUUAGUUAGGUUAGAAUAAGAUGUGCUGAACUUUCAAUCUAUGUCAUUCAUUCACUGCCUUUAGAUUUCUCCACAACUCAUCAUGUUGAGUAUUAUGUAGGUUGUUAUGGAAGAGUUGAAAAUAUCUAUAUAAAUUUAACAACCAGAUUAGGUUUCUUGAUCCAGAAGUCAAGGUUAUGUUUGUUUCCUUAAUCUUUCUACUGUUAAUUGCCUAUGUCUUUCUCUGUUUACAUUUUGGCUUAGCUUUGUAAUUAUAGUACCUUCAUGUAAUGAUAGGAAAUGUGAAAAUUGGUUGCUUGGUUUAUCUGGCUUACCUCAAAUAGCUAUACAAAUGAAGGUAUAUGCUUUGAAAUAUACAGUUUUUUAAUAUUAUCUACCCUAUGUUUUAUUCAGUAUCAGCCAUUUCUAAUUAUUUUGAAGAUUCAUGAUGCAUUUUCCUGGUUUGUAGAGGUUGGAACUAAGUUCUAUAUGGGCCCUUCUUGCUGCAUUGGAGGACCUCCUCCCACUAGGCAGUGCAUCAACUUUGAAGGCGCCUUUGCUACAGGUGUUGAUUCUGUCUCAUGGAUGGCAAAUAACUAUGCAAAACUUUUGAGUUCUCAGAGUGAUGCUCCUCACUGUUGGACUUCUUCAACGCUGCAGCUUUAUGGAAAACGAAACAAAGUUCCACAGGUCAGUUCGUAUAUAAAUGUGUCUUGUUUAAAGUACUUGCCUACCCUGUUACAUCAUCAUUAUAUGCUAGCAUUGGCACACUUCUUAACCAAUUGCCUAGACAUCUAUUUGAAUCCAUUCAUGCUUCAGUAUUUAUUCCAAGUUAUUGAAACAAGGCUGCAAUAAGUUCAGUCUUUUCGUGCAUAUUUGUUUCCCUUUUAUACUCGAAUCAAUAUGACAUUUCAGUUUUACAGCAAACUUUGGUGCUGUGUAGGUACGUAUAUGUUGCAAUCUAGGCUUUCUGCAAGAUUUUUUAUGAUUGUUUUUAUCAUUAUUUUGAAAAUUAUCCCAACUGCAACAGCAGAGAAGGUGGAAAUGGGUAUGCUCGAGGGUGUUGAGGCUGUACUUGGCCUACCAAAAAGUUCACUUCAGAAGCCUGUUUAUACUCGGGUCCAAUUAUGGUAAGACUCCACGUUUAAGGACAUGACCUUGUAAUUUCAUUUUUAUCUUGUCCAUUUGGAUCCUUGUGACCUACUUGGGCUGUAACUAUUUGCUGUUGGUGUUGCUUUAGAAUGAGUGGUUUAUUUAGACAAACUUAACAAGUUUUUGUGUGGACUUGUGUAUAGUCCUAGUUCUAUUUUCCUGUUAUGCUCAUUUGAAAAACAAGAUGGAACAUGUCAUUCCGAUUUAUUAAAUAUAUAAAACAACUUGAGAAUUUCAUAAUUAAGAAAAUAGUUCCUCUGACGAAUUUGGUAUUAUCUUUGUUCCUCAAGGAAGGGCCAGUAUAUGUGGCGGUUGGCUGUUGGCUGCAAGUGUAGAGUCGGCUGCCUUAGGUGGCAUGGCUCUUGCCAAUCAUGUAAGCAAGAAUAUGAUUUUCUUUUGCUUAUUUGUUUUAUUUUGUGCAUAUAACUGUAUAUUUCAUGGUUGACAUAAAGUAAAUAAAUAAAUAAUUCUAACACAACCUUUUUGUCCCUAUAUGGACAUCUAAAUAUAAAUUUGUAGAUUGGCUUCAAUCAGAUUGAAAUAUCAGACAAGCUUAACAACUUAAGCUUGAAGCUUGAUUAUUCUUAUAUAAAUAAUGUAGUUGGUCUACAUAGAUUGCAGACUAUUUAGGAAGUGGUGGAGUUCAUCCUGAGGAACUUGCUGUUGGUUUAUACAAUGAUUUUCAGCCACUUGAAGGACAUGAUACUGGACAAUUUCCGGGUUUUGGAGUCCAUGGGAAAAGAGGAAGUUCAAGCAUAUCAACUUACCUCUUGAAUCCCUAAGCAGGCCAUGAAAAUUUCUAGUGUUUGUCAAGGUAUGCUUCUAUUGAUACACUGUGUAUGGCUUUCUGUUUUUCACUUGGGUUACUGUCAUGUUUAUUCUCUUGUUUUUAUAGCUAGGAUUAAGGAGUUUAUUCACUAGGUGCUGUUGUCGUCAUAGUUGCUAAGCAAGUAUCCUGAAGUUCUUUUUGUGAUACCAUCCAUCACGAAACAUAAUGAGUACAGAUUCAGAGUAAAGGGGAUUCUUCGGGCGGCUAAAUCUUUUCUGAAAACUUGUUUUCAGUAGCAUAGAUGACAGGAAUCGUGAUAUUUCCCGGGCUUUCAUGGAAGAAAAUUUUCUAAUAACUGAAACUCUUUUCAGUUGUCCACAAAUCAAAUUUGAAUAUGAAGCCAAAUAUCAGAUGCAGAUUUACGGGCUUCUUUCAGAGCGACAAAGUUCAAUGCUAUCAGUUGUAUGGGUUCAAGUGAUCGGAGCUUCAUCCAGCUCAAGUACACAUAACAGAGUAUGAAAAAUAUCCAAACUUACCGUUAAAAGUUCUCAAGUUCCAGAUUUGACCUGUAGUCACAUUCAAGUUUAUACAUGACUACUGAUAUACGAAAUGGCAAUAUUAUUCAGUUCCAGGAAAGUUACAUGCAUAGGAUCUGAGUUUCAUUUUAAUUGAAUGGUUUCAAGCUGCAAUAUAUUAUAUAUAUAUUUUAUAAUUAAUGGAGUUUGCAUUCCUCAUUACAGGAUAAGAAAGGAAGAUUAAUUCUCAGUUGGAAAAGCAUUGAAACAAGCUUCUCAUGCUCAUAAUCAGCUUCCCAGUUGCUCACCACGGUAUCUUUUCCAUAUGCACGUGUUGAUAAAAUUAUUUCUUGGUUAUAUAACCUGGAUAAAUAGCUGUUCGUUGGCAACACAAGCAACAAAAUUACACAAAUUAAUUCCAACAAAAAUAAUAUUUUUACACGAGAUAUUUGGUUGAGAGAAGAGGGUUAAUUAGAUGUUUACUAUUGAGAUCACAAUUUUGAAAUGAGCACAGGCAAUUGAACAAGCUGUUACACAGACCAUCCAGCUGAAGAAAUCAACGACUCUUCGGCAUUCGUAUGCAAGCUCGAAAACCACUGUCCUUCUGCUAAAUUAACUUGAUAGCUAGCAACCAAGACAAGGAGGAGAACCCGGCACAUUUGCAGUUUCUAGUUUUUCAUGCUUGCCAUCUUUUCUUGUGAUUGAAAUGAGUUGAGAUUUAUUUAAAGGUUUUAUCUUAGUAUGCAAUUAAUGGUUUGAAAACAGAUUAUAUGUUAUUACAAGUUAAUUUUUCUGAUAACAAUUGUUGGAAUAGGAUUCUUGUUGUAGUAUAAUUAUUAAACAUGAUUUUAUAAUUAAUGAUUCAUACAUUAAGUAAAAUAGAAACCAGGAUUUGAAAACUACCAUGUUAGUAAAAUCACUUGGAAGCAAAAGCUUAGAAUUAUCAUAUGGUGUGAAAACCGGAAAGUUCUAUGAAAACGGGAAAGUUCUAUGAAGAGAGAUGAAAUUUUCUGAAGUUCAACUGAAAUGAUUGCAAGAUUUAAUCCAACAAUGCAAGAACAUAUUUGACAUAUUAAAACUGAUGAAAAAUUCUUUAUCAUUUUCUUGGAGGUGAUCAAAGUAUUUUUGAAUUAUACUUGAUUGUACUCCAAAUGUAAGACGAAAAAGAAAUCUCUUUUAAUGUGGUUAUUCCAAAAUGGCAGAAUCUACUAUUUUGAAUCAAAGUAUAUCAUUAGAACAAGAAGGAGAGCCAAGGACAUUUUAUUUUGAGAACUACCUGAUAGAGUGCUCCAUUCUUGACAUAGUACCGGCCUUCGUCGUCAUGCCACAGAAUCUGAUCUUCUUUGAGGAAAUGAAUGCUUUGAUGGAAGAAGAUCUUGAGCAAGAAAAAGGCCAGCAUGGAAGAGAGAUGAAGAAAAUCUCCAAUUAUGCAAAUAUGGUCUGAUUGGCCUGUAAGAUAACUAACCAAACUAAUCACUACUUUCAAUCUCAAUCAAAUUCCAAAAACAAUCUAUUUUCUAUUCAAACUCAGGUGGUGAUCGGCUAAAUAAAUUUGUUUGAAAACUACCGAACAAAGCUCUAGGGAUAUAGUACAUUGUUUAUUGAAAUUGAAUACGUAGACAGAAAUAUAAGAGCAUCUUGUUGAAAUUUGUUUGAGAUGUAGUGAUUGAUUUGGUAUAACAUAUGUAUCCAUGUCCAGGAUGAAGCUUGGCCGAAACUAAGUAGGUUAGAAUAAUAUGAGCUGACUUUCAAUCUAUGCCAUUGAUUCAAUGACUUUAGAUAUGUCCGUGAUAUAAACUAUUAAAAUAAUUAAAAUUAUGUAUUUUAUUUCUUUAAUUUUAUGGUAUUAGUUAAUUUUGAACUAGUCAAAAGUAGUUGCACUUAUUUUGUGGAACUACAUGUAAUUAGUGGAGAAUUAUGUGAGAACGUGCUUAGUGUCACUAAUUUUUAGGUUGUAAUCCUAAAUAAGCUUUAUUAUAUAAAGCUUGAUGUUAUUCAAUAAAAAGUAUCAUAAGUUUAUUAUUUUGGCAACAUAAAAGUUGUAAUUGGGAGUUUAUUGGUUUCUCGAAUAACCAAUACUUAUUUGGAGAUUUGGAUUUGUUCGAAUUAACCCCAUUUAUCAUCUAAUUUUUCUAUUUCAUUUGAUUUCUUCUUAUAAACUUUAGUGCUCGUAUCAGUCCACAACUCAUCAUGCUGAUAAUGUCCUAUCUGUGACUUGUAAAAUUUCUCUUAUGAGUAUUACAUAAGCUGUUAUGAAAGAGCCUUUAUUAGAGGAGUUGAUUCUGUCUCAUGGAUGGCAAAUAACUCAGCGACGCUUUUGAGUCCUCAAAGUGAUGGUUCUCAUUGUUGGACCUUCUUCAGCACUGCAGCUUACGGGAAAGGAAACAAGGUUCCACUGGUCAGUUUGUUUGUAAAUGCAUGUCUUGUUAAAUACUUAUGAUUAUAUGCUGGCAUUGUCACACUUUUCUAACCAAUAGGCUAGGCCUCUAGUUGAAUUCAUUCAUCCUUCAGCUUGCAAUCUCAAGCUAUUGAAACGUGGUUUUUUUUUACCGCAUAUUUAUAUAGAGUUUGCAAUAAGAUUAGCUUUAUCUUCCCUUUUGUACUUGAAUCAAUAUGACAUUUCAAAUUUUACAGCAAAAUUAUGUGCUGCGUUGAUAUGUAUAUGUUGCAAUUUAGGCUUUUUGCAAGAUUUUUACGAUUGUUUUCAUAAUUUAUUAGGAAAAUAUGCCAACUGCAACAGCAUCGAAGGUGAAAACAGGUAUGCUCGAGGGUGUUGGAGCCGUUGCUUGGCCUGCCGAUAGGUCUUGUCGGAAGCCCAUUUAUACUUGAGUCCAAUUAUGGUAAGGAUCCACUUUUAUGGACAUGACCUUGCAAUUUCAUUUAUAUCAUGUCCCAUUUGGAUCCCUUGUGACCUACUUGGGCAGUAACCAUUUGCUGUUGCUUUACAAUGAUUGGUUCACUUGGGCAAGCAUCAAGUAUAAUAUUAAAACAUAGGUAACAAACAAGAUUAGGCUCAACUCGAAUUCUUCAAACUAGUGAGAUAAGACCCUGCAAAACCUGAGUUUGUCAACCACAGCGAUGUUGGAAAUAUUCAGGUUCUUUUUACUGUGCUUUGUUGUAUAUAUCAGGCGAAUAUGGCUCGGGAGGACAAAUGGGAUAAGACCCUGCAAACCAAAUAUAUGAGGCAAGCCCAAGAACAAAUGACAGCUAUAGUCUCUUUGUUUGCAUUUGGGAAAUAGUACACGAAACAAUAGUCUCUUCGUUUGCAUAUUUUUCCAACUCGCUGUAAUUUGUAUAUACAUUGUGGGGUUUAAAAAGUUCUCAAACUGAAAAAAGAAAUCAUGCGUUGAUUUAAUUGUAUAUGUCUUUGUUCGUCUUUUAUUGUAAUUCUGAUUAAGAUUAAAUUUGUAAAUCAAAUAAAUUACUGUAUGUUAAAUAUUUGUUUUUCCUUUUUCCAAUUUUAAGGAUGGAACUUUGAUUACUUAUAGAAUGACAAUCACAUGGAAUUAUCAAUGAGCACCCAUGAGCCGUAUAUCAAAAUUCAAUAGCCCCAGAGCCAAUUAUAAUUUUUCUCAUUGAUAUCUAUUGCUUUUGGGUCUGGGGGUGUUUGAUGUUGAUUGCCGGGAUUGUCAUUGAUAUCUAUUGUUUGAUGCUGAUUGCUCUGGGGCUGUUGAAUUUUUUUGCCCUUUUUUUUUUCAUUCCACACAUCCUAAUAUGCGCACAAAAGAUAUCAAUGAUAUUAAUGACAAUAUCAUAUAUCAAAAUUCAACAGCCCCAGAGCAAUCAGCAUCAAACAAUAGAUAUCAAUGACAAUCCCGGCAAUCAACAUCAAACACCCCCAGACCCAAAAGCAAUCGAUAUCAAUGAACACCCAUGAGCCAUGAAUAAUAUCAAUAAAUUCCUUGGUUGAAACCUCGAAGAAACCCAGAAACCCUUCAAUUCAAACCUCAAAAAAUGUGCCCCGGAUAUAACUCAUAUCAGCGCUCUGUUUUCUGGGAUGAGGAUAAAAACCUCGUUCAUUUCAAGAACCCUCUUCCAUCAGGGAUGAAGAAAGAGGAUGUGAAGGUUGAGAUUGAUGAAGAUGGGAAAUUGCUUAUAGAAACAAGCAAAGGGGUAAGGUCACAUAUUGAUCCUCUCUCUUCAGCUUCUUCCUCGAUGAUCAGAUUCGGAUCCUCUUUCCUAAGCUUCUCGAAGAAAAAUGAAGGAGACACCGCCAGCCCGAUAAUGUCGAUGAAAUUCAACUUCCCAGCAGGUCUUGACCCGAAAGGCUUCAAGACUGCAAUCGAUGACGAGGGGUUGCUGACUCUCACUUUUAAAAAGCUCGUUGCCAUUCAUUCCGAAACGCCCUUCGACCUCAAAAACGACUCCGAGUGGGUGACUGCUAAAGAGAACAACAAGGACAUUGUUCACUUCAAGGCCAAUUUGGCAGCGGGCACGAAGAUGGGGGAUGUGAUGGUUGGUAUAGCAGGUGGUAAUUCCCUUAUCAUAGGUUUGCUGAAGAAAGAGGAAGGGGACACCAAUAUUCUCAAGCGGUUCCAUGGCAACAACUGUUGGAUCUCCGUUUUGCCAGAUGGUGCGAACCCGGAUGGCUUCAAGGAUGCAAUGGAUGAUGCCGGCCUUCUAACUGUCACCUUCACUAAACUGAAGCCAGAGAAGAAGAAGCUGAUGCCAAGCCCAAAGAAGAUACUGGGAUAUUUGGCCUGCUUGUUUGCUGAUAGGUUGCAGGAUAGGUGAUGAGAUGAGUUCAGGAGACUACUAGUAAGCUGGUGUCAAGUAGAUAUUUCCUUCAUGUUCAUGUGUUUUGUUCUGUCGUUUAUCUUUAGCGUUUGAAAGAAACUCUGGACGUCUAGACCAGGUGUUCGUUAAUUUCUGUGUUUGCGUGGUGUUGUAUCUCCUUUGUGUCAGUGAAAUAGAAAGGGCUUUGUCUAAUAAAAAAUGAUAAACGCUGUUGAGCGAAAAAUAAAUGCAUUUUUUUUUUUUUAAUCGUGUUGAAUAUUAAAAAAAAAAAACAAGGCCUGUUUUCAUGCAUACGUGCAGCCACAAGAUAAAGGAGUAACUGGAGAUCGGUCAGGUGAGCCAAUCAUGCUACAGAAUCUGCAAUCUGUGUAUAAAAGAAUUAAAAAGACAAAAAAAAAAAAAAAAAAACUGCUAGCGGUUGGUUACUUUUUUUAUUUAUAAAUGAGUACAUCGGUAAUGGUAUCGGGCCAAUGCUCGAGCCAGAGCCCCACUUUUCUCCUUUAAUAAUCGCUCAUUUCACUAUUUCAGCGCAAUAGAGGGUAGGGUGAUGCUAAGUUACAGUAUUUGUACCUUACAGCCACCUUAGUACAGAAAAACAAAAAGCGGACACAAGUGGGGUUCAUGGUCACUUUGUGAGGGUGCUGUAAGGUACAGAUACUGUACCGUAGCAUUCUCCGAGAGAGUAAAGGCAACUUUUGAAGAUAAGAACGAGAUGACAGAGAAAAUAAAACGACCCAUGUGAUUAUCAGUCCAUAGAAAUCUACACCAAAUUCUCAGGUCUCCGCAGUGACGCGCACACAAAUAUUUCAAGAUUAUGGCAACUUCUGCAACUCAUUCCUUUGAGCUUCAAGGUGGCCAUCGAAAAAAUAACUGGGUAAUAUGACACAACAAAGAUUUACCUUCACCGAACUGAAGCCGGAGAAAAAGGCGGUGUCAAGAUCAAAGAAGAUGCCGCGAGGUUUGGCUGAAGCAGUGCCUGUUUGUAUCUUGAUAGGUUACUAGAUAAGUUGGGGAGACUACUAAUUAGCUGGUGGCAGGUAAGGUAUUUGCUAACAUCAUGUUCCAAAAUGCAAAAUCCUGUAUAGUUUGCUAUUGGAAAAUAGGAAAAAAGGAAAAAAAGAUAUCUAGUUUUACAUUCUACCAUUACAAUGGAUUAGGAAUGGUGAAGAAUCUCAUUUGGUACAGGGCAACCUUUUCAAAAUGCAAAAUCCUGUAUAGUUUGUUGAUAUAUAUAUAUAUAUUUUUUUUUUUCUUUUGUGGGAUACUAGAACUUCAGAAAGAUUGGAAAACUUCAUAAAAUUUCAUACAGAUUUUUUCACUCUAAAUUUUGAGAAAAUGAUAGCUAGAUUACAACUAAGAUUAAUAGCAACUCUCAGCUGCAAACAACUAGAAGGCUGGUACUAAAUGCCAAUUUUGAAAUAGAACAUGAAGCCGUAAGUUCCCAAGUAGUGGAAGGAGCCCAAGGCUCUGAUCAUGUGCCCGUUGAAGAAUGAGCCGGCAAAUCCUAAGCAGUGGCUUGGUUAGGGAAAGCCACCGAAAUGAGUCUCCAUUGGGCAAUUGCCACUACUUAUGUACCCAAACAUGGGUGAUCUAUCCCUGACCAGGAUGAAGCUUGGGCGAAACUGAGUAGGUUAGAAUAAUAUGAGCUGACUUUCAAUCUAUGCCAUUCAUUCAAUGACUUUGGAUAUGUCCACAACUCAUCAUCUUGAUAAUGUCCUAUCAGUGUCUUGUAAACUUCUCUUAUGAGUAUUAAAUAGGUUGUUAUGAAAGAAUUGAAAUCAUCUUUAUAAAUGUAACGACCAGAUAGGGUUCUAGACCUAGAAGAUGAGGUUAUGUUUGUUUCCUUUCUGUUUCUUGUUGAUUGUAGACUGUUUAUUGCUUGUGGCUGCUAUUUACAGUUUGGCUUUGUGCUGUGGUAAUGGUUCCCUAAUGUAAUGGGAGGAAAAUUUUCAAAUUGGCUGCUUGGUUCAUCUAGCUUACCUCUAAUAGCUAGACAAAACGAAGUUAUAUAUACUUUGAAAUAUUAAGUUUUUUUUGUAUUAUUAUCUGUUACAGAGCAUGGUCAGAGCUGUGAGGAUGAGCACACUUGAUAACUUGAUAGCUUACGUGUAAAAGAGUCAGUUAGCUGAGUCAGCUACUUGGUUAACCAAUUGGUUUAGCGUGUAUAGAAUAUAAAACAGAUUUAGUUUACAUUGUAACCAAGUAUAAAUAAAGAGCUGUAAGCACGAUUGUGUGGUUGAGUUUUAUUCAAUAAAUUCCAGAUUCUUCUUCAUAACUUUUCUUCGUUUUCUCAUUGUUUUUCUUACUCUCCAAACACAUAAUUACAGAUUCUUUCAUGGUAUCAGAGCAAUCAAUGAUGAGCUCGAAUCAAACCUCUGGAUCUUAUAGUUUUGUUACUCCUGUGAAACUCGACCAGAAUAACUUCAUUGUUUGGAGAACUCAGAUUUUAACAACGAUUAAAGGUAACAGGUUGGAGAGCUUUAUCAAUGGUGAUCGAGCCUGUCCAGAGCAAUUUCUUCCAUCAGCUGUCACUGGAGCUAUUGAUUCAACAAGAUCAAAGGAUUGAGAAAUUAAUCCAGAGUUUUUAGCUUAGGUGAAGACUGAUCAGUUGAUUCUGAGUUGGAUGAUGUCAUCAAUUCAACAAAAUUUGCUGGCAACGGUGAUUCAUUGCUCUACUGCUAAAGAGCUUCUGGACACACUUACUAGUAUGUUUAUCUCACAAUCUCAGGCUAGAAUAAUGCCUCUUAAAAUGCAGAUUCAAACACUUAAAAAAGGCUCAAUGUCAAUGAUUGAUUAUUUUGCUAAAAUGAAAAGGUUAUCUGAUAGCUUAGCUCUGGCUGGAAAACCUGUUGAAUUGAAUGAUUUUGUUCAAUAUGUUUUGACUGGAUUGGAUUCCUCAGAUUAUGAGUCUCUUGUUACGAGCGUCUUAGCUAGAGGUGACAAGAUUAAUCUUGAUGAGUUUUACUCUUUACUGUUAAGUCAUGAGAAUAGAGUUGAGCAGAAGAGAGGCAAAAUUGCUAGUGAUGUUACUCAUAAUUUGUCAGCUAAUAUGGCAUAAAAACAGUUUAAUUCUGGAAAAAAUGCUGGUGGUAAUCCAAGAUAUAAUAAUAAUAUAACUUAUGGUGGAGGUGUCUAUGGAAAUUUUGCUAAUGGAAAUGGUAUGGGACAAUCUGGUGAUGGUAAUUCAACUAUCAUUUGUCAAAUCUGUUUUAUACCGGGUCAUGGAGCUCACAAGUGCAAGAAUAGGUACAAUUCUGCUUUUGUACCUUCAAGGAAUCAAGCAAGAGGAAAUUUUAAUGGCAAUUUUAGGGCUGGUCAAAGGAAUUUUGGAAGGGGAUUUGGAAAUUCAGGUGGCAGAUUUUUUAAUGGUGCUUAUGGCAGAGGGUUUAAUUCUCAAUUUGGCAAUGUCUUUACUAAACAUAAUGCUGGAAAUUUCAAUUUGCCAAGAGGUCCAGGAUAUCAAAGCUAUGUGAUGUGCUCAGAUCCAGCUGCUUUUUAUGUUACUCAACCUGGUAGCUCCACUAAUGCAAGUUCUUCUGCUUCUGGUUUUGGUUUUACUGGAGAUUACAGUGGCUGCUCUCCUUCCGCACCCACAGUUCCUACUCCUGAGAUGGUUGAAGAUCCCACCUGGUACAUUGACAGUGGUGCAACUAAUCAUAUCACCAAUGAUGCAGGUAAACUUCUUGAACCAAAAUCUUAUAGUGGAAGUGAAAAGUUGCUUGUUGGUAAUGGUUCUUCUCUGCAUAUUAAACAAGUUGGAUCAGUAUUGCUAGCCACAACUACAUCUGAAUCUUUGUUGCUAAGUCAUGUUCUUUAUGUUCCUCAAAUAACAAUUCCAGAUUCUUCUUCAUAACUUUUCUUCGUUUUCUCAUUGUUUUUCUUACUCUCCAAACACAUAAUUACAGAUUCUUUCAUGGUAUCAGAGCAAUCAAUGAUGAGCUCGAAUCAAACCUCUGGAUCUUAUAGUUUUGUUACUCCUGUGAAACUCGACCAGAAUAACUUCAUUGUUUGGAGAACUCAGAUUUUAACAACGAUUAAAGGUAACAGGUUGGAGAGCUUUAUCAAUGGUGAUCGAGCCUGUCCAGAGCAAUUUCUUCCAUCAGCUGUCACUGGAGCUAUUGAUUCAACAAGAUCAAAGGAUUGAGAAAUUAAUCCAGAGUUUUUAGCUUAGGUGAAGACUGAUCAGUUGAUUCUGAGUUGGAUGAUGUCAUCAAUUCAACAAAAUUUGCUGGCAACGGUGAUUCAUUGCUCUACUGCUAAAGAGCUUCUGGACACACUUACUAGUAUGUUUAUCUCACAAUCUCAGGCUAGAAUAAUGCCUCUUAAAAUGCAGAUUCAAACACUUAAAAAAGGCUCAAUGUCAAUGAUUGAUUAUUUUGCUAAAAUGAAAAGGUUAUCUGAUAGCUUAGCUCUGGCUGGAAAACCUGUUGAAUUGAAUGAUUUUGUUCAAUAUGUUUUGACUGGAUUGGAUUCCUCAGAUUAUGAGUCUCUUGUUACGAGCGUCUUAGCUAGAGGUGACAAGAUUAAUCUUGAUGAGUUUUACUCUUUACUGUUAAGUCAUGAGAAUAGAGUUGAGCAGAAGAGAGGCAAAAUUGCUAGUGAUGUUACUCAUAAUUUGUCAGCUAAUAUGGCAUAAAAACAGUUUAAUUCUGGAAAAAAUGCUGGUGGUAAUCCAAGAUAUAAUAAUAAUAUAACUUAUGGUGGAGGUGUCUAUGGAAAUUUUGCUAAUGGAAAUGGUAUGGGACAAUCUGGUGAUGGUAAUUCAACUAUCAUUUGUCAAAUCUGUUUUAUACCGGGUCAUGGAGCUCACAAGUGCAAGAAUAGGUACAAUUCUGCUUUUGUACCUUCAAGGAAUCAAGCAAGAGGAAAUUUUAAUGGCAAUUUUAGGGCUGGUCAAAGGAAUUUUGGAAGGGGAUUUGGAAAUUCAGGUGGCAGAUUUUUUAAUGGUGCUUAUGGCAGAGGGUUUAAUUCUCAAUUUGGCAAUGUCUUUACUAAACAUAAUGCUGGAAAUUUCAAUUUGCCAAGAGGUCCAGGAUAUCAAAGCUAUGUGAUGUGCUCAGAUCCAGCUGCUUUUUAUGUUACUCAACCUGGUAGCUCCACUAAUGCAAGUUCUUCUGCUUCUGGUUUUGGUUUUACUGGAGAUUACAGUGGCUGCUCUCCUUCCGCACCCACAGUUCCUACUCCUGAGAUGGUUGAAGAUCCCACCUGGUACAUUGACAGUGGUGCAACUAAUCAUAUCACCAAUGAUGCAGGUAAACUUCUUGAACCAAAAUCUUAUAGUGGAAGUGAAAAGUUGCUUGUUGGUAAUGGUUCUUCUCUGCAUAUUAAACAAGUUGGAUCAGUAUUGCUAGCCACAACUACAUCUGAAUCUUUGUUGCUAAGUCAUGUUCUUUAUGUUCCUCAAAUAACCAAAAAUUUACUUAGUGUCUCAAAACUUCUAGCUGAUAAUAAUGCUACUAUUGAAUUUCUUGAAAAUUGUUGUUUUGUUAAGGCCAGGAGCUUAGGGACCAUCUUGCUUAAAGGAAUUGCAAAAGGAGGAUUGUAUCAAGUCCAAAUUGCAUCCCAAUCUUCUGAUGAUAGCCCAGUUUCAUUUUGUCAAUCUUCUGUCAAUCACUUUGAAUCUAUGUUUGCUUAUUUUCCUUCUUUGUCUUGUAAUGGUUCUGCUGUCCAGAAUAAUCCUUCCCUUGUCAGUAAUAACUUAUGUAAGUCAGCCCUGAUAGUUAAUGCAAGCACUGCUGACAUCAAUUUGCUUCACAAAAGGCUAGGACAUCCGGCUUUUCAUACUCUAAAAAAUGUAUUGAAGGAUUGUACUGACUUUUCCUUGAAUAAAAUCAAACACUUGAGUUUCUGUAAUGCUUGUCAAUUUGGUAAAAGUCAUCUGUUACACUUUGAUUCUGUUCCAACAAAAACAGUAGAGCCUCUUCAACUCUUAUAUGCUGAUCUUUGGGGUCCUUCUCAUGUUACUUCAACUCAGGGUUAUUCCUAUUAUUUUUCCAUUCUAGAUGAUUUCAGUAGGUUUACAUGGAUCUUUCCCUUGACUGCUAAAUCUGAUGCUCUUCAAGUGUUCAUAAACUUCAAAAACUUCAUUGAAAAACACUUGCAUAGGCAUAUCAAAACUGUCCAGACAGAUUGGGGAAUGGAAUUUAGAAGUUUCUCCAUAUAUCUUGAUCAAUUUGGUAUUCAAUUCCGACAUCCUUGUCCUCAUAUUCAUCAUCAAAAUGGUAGAAUAGAAAGAAAACAUAGGCACAUUGUGGAUAUUGGCCUCACUUUGUUAGCCCAAACAAGUUUGCCACUAAAAUUCUGGUGGAAUGCUUUUCACACAGUUGUGUUUCUCAUCAAUAGAUUACCUACACCAACCUUGAAUAAUAUUUCACCUUAUCAAAAAAUCUUUCAUCAAAAACCAGAUUACAAUUUUCUUAGAACCUUUGGUUGUGCUUGUUAUCCGUACCUCAGGCCAUAUAAUAGGCACAAACUUGAGUUUAGAUCAGGUAGAUGUGUCUUCAUUGGGUACAGCUCUCAACAUAAAGGGUACCAAUGUCUUCAUUCUUCUGGUAGGGUGUACAUCACCAAUCAUGUCAUCUUUGAUGAAAACUCCUUUCCAUAUGUGCCUGGCUCAUACUUUUCUUCUGUCACACAAUCAUGUAAUUCAAAUGAUACAGUUUCCCAUUCGUCCACUAUCUCUACUCCUAUCUUUACUCAUUUUCCAGCACUGCAAUCUCCUCUACAAUCCUCUUCAGCAAGUGGUUCCUCCGAGUUUUCAACAACAAUUCCUAGCCAGGUAAAAUCCCCUUAUUCUUCUUCUCAUACACCACAAAUGUCUGAUAUACAACCUUUAAAUGAUACUCAAUCACCACCACAUAUAAUACCUGCUGCACCACUAAUAGGACAUUCUAUGAUCACCAGAUCUAAAGCUGGCAUUUUUAAGCCAAAGUCUUAUCUUGCUGCUCUUUUAGCCACACUCUCAAAACCUACCUCUGUUUCCCAAGCAAUCACUGAUCCAAAAUGGUUUUAAGCAAUGCAUGAGGAGUAUCAAGCACUUCAAAACAAUCAUACCUGGGUUUUAGUACUACCAUCAACACCUGUCAAAGUAAUUGGCGGCAAGUUGGUUUUCAGAAUUAAAUAUAACUCGGAUGGAACCAUUUCUAGAUACAAAGCAAGACUUGUGGCAAAAGGUUUCCAUUAGACACAUGGAAUAGAUUAUACUGAAAGCUAUAGUCCAGUUGUGAAAGCUUCCGCAGUUAGAAUAGUUUUGAGUUUAGCUGUCAUGAACAAAUGGAUCCUCAGACAGGUAGAUGUAAACAAUGCAUUCUUGAAUGGUUUUUUGGUUGAAGAUGUGUAUAUGGUCCAGCCUGAAGGAUUUGUUGAUCCUACAAAGCCUACUCAUGUAUGCAAACUCAAGAAGGCCAUCUAUGGAUUAAAGCAAGCCCCCCGAGCAUGGUUUGACAGAUUCAAGAAUGCUAUGGUAGAUCAGUGUGGUUUUUUAAACUCUAAGUCUGACAGCUCUCUCUUCUAUAAGUGGGAAAAUAAUCAUAUCUUGCUUGUCUUAGUAUAUGUUGAUGACAUAAUUGUUACUGGAUCUAACUACCAACUAGUGCAGCAAGUAAUUCAUAAUAUGCAGACUACUUUUGCCUUGAAGGAUUUGGGGGAGUUAAGCUAUUUUCUUGGGAUUGAAGUCUCUAAGACAGCAGCUGGAGUUCAUCUAUCUCAAGCCAAAUAUAUAGCUAAUCUCUUCGCAAAACAUGAUAUGGCAAGUUGCAGUCCAGUUCCUACUCUUAUGUCCACAGGGCAUCAUCUCACAAAAGGUUCAGGCUCACCUAUUUCGAAUGCAUCUUAGUACAAAAGUAUAAUUGGGGCCUUGCAGUAUGUGACUCUAACAAGACCUGAGAUAGCAUUCUCAGUUAACAAACUAAGUCAAUUUCUAUCUUUACCAAUGAUAGAACAUUGGGAAGCAUGGAAAAGACUUUUGAGGUAUUUGAAGGGAUCCAUUCAUUUUGGCUUGCAUUUUUAUCAUUGUGGAACUUUACAAGUGAACUGUUAUAGUGAUUCUGAUUGGGCAUGUGACAAAGACGAUAGAAAAUCAGUAGCUGGGUAUGCAGUGUAUCUUGGUUCGAAUUUAGUUUCAUGGUGUUCUAAGAAACAACAAGUGGUUUCAAGGUCCAGUACUGAAGCUGAGUACAGAGCCUUAGCUCAAGCUACAUCUGAAGUUGUUUGGAUUGAAAAUCUGCUUAGUGAGUUGAAAAUCAAACUUGUUGCAGAACCUAUUAUGUGGUGUGAUAAUCAAGGUGCCAUAGCUUUGGCUUACAAUCCAGUUUAUCAUGCUAAAACUAAGCAUGUUGAAUUGGACAUUCACUUUAUCAGGGAGAAAAUAGCGGCCAAAAAGAUUGAAGUGCAAUUUGUUCCAAGUGAGGAUCAAACUGUAGAUAUACUUAUCAAGCCAUUAACUUUUGACCGCUUCCAUUAUCUUCGCAGCAAGCUAAAUGUCCAUCCUGGACAGUUUAGCUUGAGAGGGGAUGUUACAGAGCAUGGUCAGAGCUGCGAGGAUGAGCACACUUGAUAACUUGAUAGCUAACGUGUAAAAGAGUCAGUUAGCUGAGUCAGCUACUUUGUUAACCAAUUGGUUUAGCGUGUAUAGAAUAUAAAACAGAUUUAGUUUACAUUGUAACUAAGUAUAAAUAAAUAGUUGUUAUCUAGCACAUGUUUUAUUCAGUAUCAGCCAUUUAUAAAUUAUUUCAAAGAUUCAUGGUGCAUUUUCCUGGUUUGCAGAGGCUAGAACUAGGUUUUAUAUCGGCCCUUCUUGUCGCAUUUGAGGAUCCCCUUCAACUAGGCAGUGACAUUUGAAGGAGCUUUUAUUAGAGGUGUUGAUUCUGUCUCAUGGAUGGCAAAUAACUUAGUGAAGCUUUUGAGUUCUCAAAGUGAUGGUUUUUCAUUGUUGGACCUUCUUCAAACUAGUGAUACUGGAAUUUUUUGUUUCUGAGUUUGUCAACCACAUCCAUGUUGGAAAUAUUCAGGUUCUUUUUGUUGUGCUUUGUUGUAUAUAUCAGGCGAAUAUGGUUCGAGAGGACAAAUGGGAUAAGACCCUGCAAACCAAAUAUACGAGGCAAGCCCAAGAACAAAUGAGAGCCAUAGUCUCUUUGUUUGCAUUUGAGAAAUAGUACACGAAACAAUAGUCUCUUCGUUUGCAUAUUUUUCCAACUUGCUGUAAUUUGUAUAUACACUGUGGGGUUUAAAAAGUUCUCAAACUGAAAAAAGAAAUCAUGCGUUGAUUUAAUUGUAUAUGCCUUUGUUCUUCUUUUAUUGUAAUUUUGAUUACGAUUAAAUUUGUAAACUGCAUUGAGGAAUUUUAUCGAGACUUUUGAGAAGUGCGAGAAGAAGCUCACACCUACAGAGGGGUGCCGGUUGUCCCACCUCGUCGAAGGGAUGUUAAAGAUUUUUAAUGGGCUAAGCCAACAUGGCCCUCUUAGAUAUUUUGGGCUUUUACCAACAAGUUCCUGGUCACACCCCUCAAACCUCCUUAUCAAACCUUUUUUUUUUAAAUAAAAAUAAAAUCACUAAAUAACUAAAUACAAUUUAAUUUCUUUCUUUAUUUUUAAAUGAAAAUUUAAUUAUAUAUUUAAAUAAAUUGUUAUUUUAACAAAUAUUUUAUUCCUGCCCCAUUUUAUAAUUAUAUUUUGAUUUCAAUAACUCGAUAUAUCAACACACGAUUUUCAAGUUCUUUUAUUUUGACUCGCCAAUCAAUAGGAGGCUGAGAUACUGUUUUUGAUGACCUCAUUACACAUAGAUUGCAGAGUUUGUUGAGAUUGCACGAAUUUGCAAUGAUAAUGUUGUCUUUUUAGCCACUGUGAUAGUGUUUCUGAUGACUUCCGUUCCCUGACAGCAUUGAAACAUUUAGAUGACAUCCUUGAAGGGGAGAAAUUUUCAAGAUUCUCAAGGAGGAAUUUUUUUAGCAGCUUAAAUGGAUUUUUAAAAGCCUCAGAUCAAAUGAAAUGUUCAUUGAAUUGGAUGAAACUACAAUUAAGGUAAAUACGAGCAAGAGAUGCUGCCUUUACUAAAACAUUCCGGUAUGAUAAAAAUUGUUACAAAAACUUUUUAACUUUUGUAACAAACAAUCAAUGGUCCAGGUUACAUCAAAACUAAAAUAAAGAAGCACAACAAAUUCUAUACACAAUUUGUCUUGAAGUCCCUUGCUGAGUCACCAUGCUUACAACAGUGUCGAUCUUUUUAUUUCAAGCUCUUUCUUCUUGAUGCUUUGAUAUCAGCCAUUGGAUCACUGGGUGAUGGUUGUCGAAGCCAGCAAAAAUAAAUACCUACUCUAAAUAAAUUGUGUAUAGUGAUUGAGCAGGGUCGUGUCCACAGAGAUCGGUAAUUAUUUAAAUCCUUUUGAAACGUAAAACGUAAAAUGAGAGAAUUGUUGACAAUAAUAAAAAUCAAAUUAAAAUAACAAGAAUGUAAAUUAAAGUUGUAAUUCAAAUUGGAAAAAGCUCUAGUUGAAGGAAAUAACUCAGCUUGAUUCUACUACUCAUCAUUGAUUCAAAUAUAAAUUAUUACUACUUAUGAAUAGACCAGUUAUAGCUACUGAGACCCUCUAAUAGUUAAUCUCUCCUUAACUAGUCGAUAACCAAGGUACGACCGUUGGUUAUUUCCCUAAUCAAUAGACAACCCUAGAUACGAUCAUAGGAUUUAAUCAAUUGACAGCCUGAAAAACCAGAUAGACCCAAAUCCUAAUAAACAAACACAUACGAUAGUUUAUUUAAAUUAGAUUGUUUAUUCUCACAACACAACUCUCUGCUAUGUUAUUUGUCACAAAUAUUAAAAUCUUCAUACGAUGAAUCCUUUAAUUGACAAUAGAUUAAGUUGUUAAUUAAAUAGUGGCCAAUUACCUAAUUAACAAACAUAAUCAUGAAAAUAAUUCAGAGAAUAAACAAAUACCCAAAAAGUAAUAAAACAAUUAAAGCAUAAGAAAGAUCUUACAAUAGUGAUGAAUCAAAGCUUCAUUAACCUUCAACCAGAAUAAUAGGUUUAGUUCUUCAUAGAGAGAAGAGAAAAAUUUAGAUCUAGGGUUUCUUUCUUUUUCUCCAAUCCCUCUUUUUCACAAUAAAUUCCUCCCUUAAAUACUCUCUCUUUAUUCUCCUCUAGAAUUCUAUUUAAAAUAAAAUACUAAUAUCUGAAAUAUUAAAUUCGUAAUUACAAAAAUACAAAACACGUUAAACUAAAAACUGCAUGUCCGUAGUUGACAGCACGCGCCCACGUCUUAUCAACAAAGUUCUUCUGACGCUCAUAAUUUCUCCAAGAGAACAAUCAUCCUUAAACAUCAUCUUAUAACUCAAUUUUAGCACCAAUCAAUAGAAUUGCACCUAUAAAAAUAAAACACAAGUAAAUCACUAUUAUUAAGUGCAAAAUAUCGAUAUUAAGGGAAGUAAACAAUGCAAAACUAAUGCAUAAAUUGCACUCUAACAAAUUCCCCAACACCAAGACGAUGCUUGUCCUCAAGCAUAUAACUCAAGACUAAUCUCAAAUCUCCACUAAAUUCUCAUCUCAACUCAUCCAAAAACAAUUUUAAGCAAGCAUACCUCAAGAAAUUAAGUCGAUCAACAUUUGAGAGACAAGGAUUUUAAAGCAUAGAAUCUCAUAAGAUAGAAUAAGAACAUUCAACCACCAAGAAGAUCCAUUCAAAAUUCAAGUGCAACAAGAUUUCAUAGCCCUCUCAUUGACUUCACUCCAUGCACUCAAAGUGUUUAUGGUGUCAUUUAUGCACUCAAAUCAAAUCAAAGAAUACUAUUACCAUAAGCUUGCUUAUAUAUCACAUCCCAAUCCACAAAACAUGAAUUAAAUGCAAAAAUCUAAGGGUCUUAAAAAGGUUGUAACGGGGUUAAAUGGGUUAAAUGAAAAAGAAAGGUCUAUGAAAGAAAAAGAGAUCAAAAUGAAAAGAAUGAACUCAUUGAAUGAACUUUAUGAUAUCGAAACGCUUAUUUCUACUCAAGUCACCAAGAAUGUAUUUUUUUCUUUUUUUUUCGACUUUUUUUCUUUUCUUUUUCCUUUUUUUUUUAAUCAAACAAAAGAAACGAACCUUGCACAAUUUAAUUCAAGCAUAAUGCUUGUUGAUCUAAUUGAGAAAUUUUAAUACAAGGUAGAAAAAGCAACAAAAUAUAUACAAAAUAUAUCCACACAAUGAGUCCAAAAAUCUCCUUAAAUUGAGGCUCAAAAAGAAGAAAAAUUAUUAAGUAGACGGAGAGAAUUAGAUGGGUAAUGGUUAAGGCUCAAACAAAGAUAGCAAAUAAAGGUCUUCGGGUAGAGAAAAAAAAAAUGCGAGAAUAGAAAAAUGGAAAAUGGUUUGCCCUUAUCAUUUUAAUGCAUAAAAUCCCGUAAUGCGGCUUCAACAUGCAUAAGAAAGCAAGUUCUAGAAUAAACAAACUAAGAUUGAUAUUCACAUAACAAAAAUAUUAGAGCAAAGUGGUUGCUCGUAGGCUCAAAUCCUCACAAAGUUGGUAAAUUUGCCAUCAAAUCAUGUACACUCUUCAAAUGAAUCAACCAUCAAUAGUGGUUUGGAAUGAGAAGAAGGUAUGAGUAAUAUAUAAAAGGAAAGGUAAAAAGGAUAAUAAGCGAGAAAGAUGUAUGUAGUAAAAAAAAUGAAAGAUAAAAUGUGAGUGAUGAAAGAGUAUGAUAGAAAAAAUAGAUGUAAAUAAUUUGAGAUAGAUGAGAAAAGAGUAGUGAGAAAGAAAAGAAAAGAAAAAUAAUAAUAUAUGAAGCAUACUAACUCCAAAAUCAUUUAAGGAUGAGUAGAGUGAAAAUAAUACUUCCAGACAUCAAUCAUGCAAAAAUUCCUCCCCCACACCCAGACCUUACAUUGUCCUCAAUGUAAGAUAAUCAAAGCUCACAUAAAAAUUAAAGCAUAAGGAUAAAAGAUUAAAGGUAAAAACUUCCCUGAAUUGUGAGCUUUGAUCCACAUAACGUCUAUGGGCUUGGCGGAAAUGGUGGGAUAAAUCCCACACUCUCGAAGUAUGCGGCCAAAUUCUGCUCAAUCAUGUUAAGCUUGUGGUCUAUUUUCUCUAAAUGAAUGCUCAAAGGUGGUGCGGAUGUAGAAUGAAUAGUUGGCGGGGCAGUAGUGUCGUCGUCAAGCUCGUCAUCAGAGGUAGCACCACUCCUAGCAUAAAGCUUUUUUGGAGGUUGAGUUGGUCAUGGUUCAGUAAACUGAAAUCUCCCCUCCUUGAAUUCGACCACACCUGUUCUUUCAAACACAAACAUAUCCAAAAAUUCCUUUUUGCAAGUAGGAUGCAAAUCAUUAUUGUCAGGAUCAAGCACACAUAGGUUUAUAGCUAACAGAGUAAUGUAUGGACCAAGAAAUAAAGUCCUAUACUGUUUAAGCACACUUUGAAAUUGAUCUGCUAACCAAAAACCUAAAUUAGGCCUCACAUCAUUUAACAUGCACCAGAUAAAAUAAAAUUCAGUUUUAGAGAAAACUCCUGAGUGAUCUUUCUUUCCUAAAAAAUUAUAUGCUAAGAAUCGAUGCACACAUUUCAAAACAGGAUCACGUAAGAAAUAACUCUUUGAUUUACUCGGGUCAUAGGCAUUGUGAUCAAAAGAUAGAUUACGCCAAAGACCAUAAGGCUCAAAAUUUUCGCUAAAGUCACAAGUUGUUCCUAAAUAUUCAUCACUAGUAGAAUAAUCAUCAUCAAUGAAUCCUAAAGCUAGGUUAAAAUCCGUGAUAGAGUGUGAAAAAUUUCAUCCCANNNNNNNNNNNNNNNNNNNNNNNNNNNNNNNNNNNNNNNNNNNNNNNNNNNNNNNNNNNNNNNNNNNNNNNNNNNNNNNNNNNNNNNNNNNNNNNNNNNNNNNNNNNNNNNNNNNNNNNNNNNNNNNNNNNNNNNNNNNNNNNNNNNNNNNNNNNNNNNNNNNNNNNNNNNNNNNNNNNNNNNNNNNNNNNNNNNNNNNNNNNNNNNNNNNNNNNNNNNNNNNNNNNNNNNNNNNNNNNNNNNNNNNNNNNNNNNNNNNNNNNNNNNNNNNNNNNNNNNNNNNNNNNNNNNNNNNNNNNNNNNNNNNNNNNNNNNNNNNNNNNNNNNNNNNNNNNNNNNNNNNNNNNNNNNNNNNNNNNNNNNNNNNNNNNNNNNNNNNNNNNNNNNNNNNNNNNNNNNNNNNNNNNNNNNNNNNNNNNNNNNNNNNNNNNNNNNNNNNNNNNNNNNNNNNNNNNNNNNNNNNNNNNNNNNNNNNNNNNNNNNNNNNNNNNNNNNNNNNNNNNNGCAGUGGGUAGUUCGCGCUGGUGGGGCUUGCGUUGCGCGUUGCUGGGGCUGCGUGGCGGGUGGGACUGAUGCAUUGGGGCUGGUUCUGCGUGGCUGCGGCUGCUGCUGCUGCGUGGGCUGGUCGGUGAAGCUGGAGAAGAAAACCAAUUUUGUGCAUUAGGGAUUUUGUUAAUAGUAUUUUUCAUUUUUUUUUUUUUUAGUGAUGAAUCACUUUGAGACACUAAAAAUUUCAAAAGUACUUUUCUAAUAAGCACGUGGAUACGCCUUAAAACUAUUUUACUUUAAAAAUUACAGAAGUACUUAUUAGUUAAGACGUGGGCACGCCUUAUCAAAAAUUUUCUUCUGACCAAAAUAAGCAAACAUAUAAUUAUUUUUUUUAAAAAAAUUUGAAUCAAAACUAAAAGAAGACAUAACAAAAACCAAAAUAAAUAAAUCAUUUGGGUUGCCUCCCAAAAAGCGCCUUUGUUUUAUGUCUUUGGCUUGACACAUUUAUACAUCAAUCUCUAUAAUUGGGACUCUCGAGAGCCACAUUCUCCACAAUAUCCAUCGAAAAACCUUCAUAAAAAGGUUUUAAGCGAUAACCAUUAACCUUAAAAACUUUGCCAGAGGUCGGACUCCGAAUCUCAACUGCACCAUGAGGAAAAACAUUAGUAACAAUAAAAGGUCCAACCCAGCAAGAACGUAAUUUACCCGGAAAAAGUUUAAGCUUAGAAUGAAAAAGAAGAACUUUUUGACCAAAAUUCAUGCACUAUAUGGUUAAUAACAUCCACAAAAAAUACCGAAUGUUCCUCAUUAGGAUAUUUCAUGGCAUCAUUCAUAUUGAAUUCUAUAACCUCUCCAUCAAACUCCAUAGUGAGAGUCCCUUUAUGUACAUCCAUUUUAGUCCUAGCAGUUUUAAGAAAAGGUCUUCCUAGCAAAAUUGGGACAGAAUUAGAGGAGUUAUCAUCUUCCAUAUCAAGUACAUAAAAAUCAGCAGGAAAAACCAACUCAUUAACUUGUACGAAGACAUCUUCUAAUACCCCAUCAGGAUAUGCAUUAGACCUAUCAACUAGUUGAAUUAUCACGCCAGUUUCUUUUAAUGGACCAACAUUCAAAGAUGAAUAAAUGGAACGAGGCAUGACAUUAAUAGAAGCUCCUAGAUCUAACAUAGCCUUUUCAACUCUAACACUACCAAUUUUACAAGGGAUAGUAAACAUACCUGGAUCCUUGCACUUAGGAGGUAGUUUCUUUUGGAGAACUGCUGAAACAUUCUCCCCCAUGUGAACUUUUUCAUCUCCUCUUAAUUUUCUCUUGGAGGUGCACGGUUCCUUAAGGACUUUAGCAUAUCGAUGUAUUUGUUUUAUAGCAUCUAAUAAAUGAAUAUUUACCUCAACCUUACGAAAUGUCUUAAGGAUGUUUUUCUCUUGUUUCUCCUUCUUGGAUUUUGUAAACCGUCUUGGAAAAUGAGGAGGUAUCACAAUAGGUAGGGGUUUCGCUCUGGUGGGUUGCACAUCUUGAGAUUUAGGCAUCAAUUCAUUCUUCUCAAGCUCAUCUUCUACAUGCUUUGUCACUUUCUUACUAGGCUCUUGUAACUCAUUCCCACUUCUAAGGAUGACAGCACUAACGUUUUGUUUUGGAUUCACCUCAGAUUGUGAAGACAAUCUCCCUAAUACUUGAGACUCCAAACGGCUCACUGUAGUCGCCAAUUGACUCAUUUGGUUCUCCAAAUUCUGAAUGCUUGCUGUAGUUGCAUGCUGAAAUUGUUGAGUGUUAGUCGCAAGUGAUUUAACAAUUUCUUCAAGAGAUAUACCUGACUCGGAGUUUGACUGUGGAGGUGCUGGUUGUCUUGGUGGAUACUGUUGUGGGAAUCCUGACGGCCUAACUCCAUAGCUGAAGUUGGGAUGAUCAUUCCAUCCCGGAUUGUAUGUUUGUGCAUAAGGAUCAUACCUCCUCUGAGGCAUGCCUGGAAAUCCUCCAACUGCAUUGGCUUGUUCAACGAGUUCUUCUUGAAGUGUAGGACACAUAUCAGUUGAAUGACCUAUAUUGUAACAAAUACCACAAGUCUUCACCUGUUGCACAUUACCUACAACAAACUUUUCCACAAGAGAAGUAAGUUUAUCUAAACAUUGUUCAACAGAAGAAAUAUUUACCUCAUUCACCUUCCUUGAAGUGGGAUCUUGCAUGUUGCCAAAUUAUUGUGCAUUAGCAGCCAUAUUUGAUAUCAACUCCCUUGCUUGAGUAGGGGUCUUAUUCACCAACACACCUCCACUAGCAGCAUCUAUCAUACCCCUAUCCAUUAAUGACAGUCCUUCGUAAAAAUAUUGAAUAAGAAGUUGAUCAGAAAUCUGAUGUUGAGGACAGCUGGCACACAAUUAUUUGAAUCGCUCCCAAUACUCAUACAAAAUCUCCCCAGAAAGUUGUCUGAUCCCACAAAUAUAUUUUCUGAUGUUGGCAGCUCUUGAAGCAGGAAAGUAUUUCUCAAGGAACUGCUUCUUCAAACCAUUCCACGUUGUAAUCGAUCCAGGAGGCAAGUAGUACAACCAGUCUUUGGCUAGUCCAUCUAAAGAGAACGGAAAAGCACGCAGCUUAAUCUGCUCUUCAGUCACGCCUUGAAAGCAAAGGCGACGAGGAUCGUUGCUUAGCUCGCUUCAUCUGCUGUCUCAGCUGGCGAGCUGUCUUCUCAAUUUCAGGAUCAAACGAAAGUGUACUUGUACGAGAAGAACGAACCAUACACCAAGUAAAACGUAAAAAGGAUUAAAUAAAUGACACCAAUCCCCGGCAACGGCGCCAAAAUUUGAUGGUUGUCGAAGCCAGCAAAAAUAAAUACCUACUCUAAAUAAAUUGUGUAUAGUGAUUGAGCAAUGUCGUGUCCACAGAGAUCGGUAAUUAUUUAAAUCCUUUUAAAUGAUAAAACGUAAAAUAGGGGAAUUGUUGACAAUAAUAAAAAUCAAAUUAAAAUAACAAGAAUGCAAAUUAAAGUUGUAAUUCAAAUUGGAGAAAGCUCUAGUUGAAGGAAUUAACUCAGGUUGAUUCGACUACUCAUCAUUGAUUCAAAUAUAAAUUAUUACUACUUAUGAAUAGACCGGUUAUAGCUACUGAGACCCUCUAAUAGCCAAUCUCUCCUUAACUAGUCGAUAAUCAAGGUACGACCAUUGGUUAUUUCCCUAAUCAAUAGACAACCCUAGAUACGAUAAUAGGAUUUAAUCAAUUGACAGCCUGAAAAACCAGAGAGACCCAAAUUCUAAUCAACAAACACAUACGAUGGUUCAUUUAAAUUAGAUUGUUUAUUCUCACAACACAACUCUCUGCUAUGUUAUUUGUCACAAACAUUAAAAUCUUCAUACGAUGAAUCCUUUAAUUGACAAUAGAUUAAGUUGAUAAUUAAAUAGUGGCCAAUUACCUAAUUAACAAACAUAAUCAUGAAAAUAAUUCAGAAAAUAAACAAAUACCCAAAAAGUAAUAAAACAAUUAAAGAAUAAGAAAGAUCUCACAGUAAUGAUGAAUCAAAGCUUCAUUAACCUUCAACCAGAAUAAUAGAUUUAGUUCUUCAUAGAGAGAAGAGAAAAAAUUAGAUCUAGGGUUUCUUUCUUUUUCUCCAAUCCCUCUUUUUCACAAUAGAUUCCUCUCUUAAAUAUUCUCUCUCUCUUCUCCUCUAGAAUUCUAUUUAAAAUAAAAUACUAAUAUCUGAAAUAUUAAAUUCGUAAUACCAAAAAUACAAAACACGUUAAACUAAAAACUGCAGGUCCGUAGUUGACAGCACGCGCCCACACCUUAUCAACAAAGUUCUUCUGACGCUCAUAAUUUCUCCAAGAAAACAAUCAUCCUUAAACAUCAUCUUAUAGCUUAAUUUUAGCAUCAAUCAAUAUAAUUGCACCUAUAAAAAUAAAACACAAGUAAAUCACUAUUAUUAAGUGCAAAACAUCGAUAUUAAGGGAAGUAAACAAUGCAAAACUAGUGCAUAAAUUGCACUCUAACAAGUUCCUUAUGAUAAGCAAGCUGAAGAGAGCUGAAGAAGGAGGCAAGAUCUCGAGGAAAUUCAGCGAUGGAUGAAGCGAGGGUUCUAACUCUCACUCUUUUAAAAAAAAUUAUGCAUAUUCUUUCAUGUGCUGUAGAUAGGCCCUUCAACCUCGGAAACCUCACCAUGGACUGGGAGCGAAGGAAGUGGGAUCUGAUGGUUGGCAUUGUAGGUGGCAAGCUGCAAAAGAAAGAUGACGUUUUCAAAGUUGAAGGGCCUUUCUAGAGCACUGGAAUCCAUUCAUACUUCAGCUUGAAAUCCCAAAACACAAGGCUUUUUGUGCAUAUUUGUUUAGAUUUUGCAGUAAGAUUGGCUUUUAUUUUUCCCUUUUAGACUUGAAUCAGUAUAACAUUUCAAUGUUACAGCACACUUUGGUGCAGCAUAUGUAGAUCUGUAUUGGUUGCAACUGAGGUUUUCUGCAAAGACUGUUAUGAAUUUUUUUUUUAAAUCAUUUAUUAGGAAAUUUUCCCAACAGCAACACCAGAAAAGGUGAAAACAGGUAUGCUUGAGGUUGUUAUAGCUGCGCUUGGCCUACCGAAAGGUUCAUUUAGUCCAAUUAUGCUAAGACUCCACUUUUAUGGACAUUAUCUUGUAAUUUCAUUUUUAUCACGUCCCAUUUGGAUCUCCGUGACCUACUUGGCCUGUAGCUAUUUGCUGUUGGUGUUGCUUUUGAAUUAGUGGCUGAUUUGGACACGCUUAACAAGUUAUUGUGUGGACUCUAGUUAUAUUUUUUUGUUAUGCUUGUCUGAGAAAAGAGAUGGAACAUGUCGUUCCAAUUUAUUGAAUAUUUAAAAUAACUUGAGAAUUUCAUAACUAAGAAAAUUCAAGGUUCCUUUUUGAAUUUUUUUUUUUUUGGGNNNNNNNNNNNNNNNNNNNNNNNNNNNNNNNNNNNNNNNNNNNNNNNNNNNNNNNNNNNNNNNNNNNNNNNNNNNNNNNNNNNNNNNNNNNNNNNNNNNNNNNNNNNNNNNNNNNNNNNNNNNNNNNNNNNNNNNNNNNNNNNNNNNNNNNNNNNNNNNNNNNNNNNNNNNNNNNNNNNNNNNNNNNNNNNNNNNNNNNNNNNNNNNNNNNNNNNNNNNNNGGGAAAUGGGGGCAAGGGGAUGUGUGGGGAUGCAGCUCUUCCGUCUAACACUCCAAAGUAUUUCUUGUAUCUUGGAUCCUCGCGGAAGGACUGGUAUUUGUGGCGAUUGGCUGUUGGGUUCAAGUUUUGAAUCAGCUGCCUUAAGUGGCCGGCUCAUGCCAAUCAUGUAAGCAAGAAUACGAUUUUCAUUUGCUUAUUUGGUUUCUUUUUUGUGCAUAGAAAUAUAUAUUUCAUGAUUGAUAAUUAACAUCAAAAUCAAAUAAUAAAAUCUGUAACAACCUGUUUACCCCUGUAUAUGGACAUCUAAAUAUAAAUUAGUAUAUUGGCUUCAGUUCUGUUUGAAAUAUCAGACAAUUUUCAAUCGUAAGCUUGAAGCAUGAUUAUUCAUAUAUAAAUACUGUAAUUGGUCUAUCUUGAUUGUAGAUUAUUUAGGAAGUCGUGGAGUUCAUUUUGAGGAGUUUGCUGUUGGUUUACAAACAAGUUUUCUGCCACUCGAAGGACAUGAUAUUGGGCAAUUUCUAGGUUUAGAGUCUAUGGAAAAAGACGAAGCUCAAGCAUAUCAACCUAUCAUUUGAAUCAUUAAGCAGGCCAUGAAAAUUUCUACAGUUGUUAAGGUAUGCUUCUAUCUACACACUGUUUAUGGAUUUAUGAUUUUUACUUUGGUUGCCCCAUAUAUUAAUUCUCUUGCUUUUAUAGCUUGGAGUAUUAGAUUGCAGUGAUUGAUGAGAGUGAAUGCUUGUUUAAUGAUAAUUGAAACAAUUUGCUAUCAACAGUGUAGCAUGUGUUAAUCGUUGAAUAUUGUUUUUGUGACAACGUUUUUGUGUAUCAUUAAUUGCAUGUAGCCAUUGUGAUGCUUAGUUUAUAUGAAAAUUAGGCUAGCCCAAUCUUUUUUGGAUUUUUUGUUAUGAUUAUCUCCACGUUUGUGAUUGAGGUGUUGUGACUUUUAAUUUAUUGAGGAAUGGAAUUAAAACAUUAACUGCUUAAUAAAAAUGGGUGUUUAUCAAAUAUCUUAGCUAAAAUGCUGUCAAAAUUAUACUGCCACCAAAAUAGGACUCAACUCGAGUUAUUCAAACUCUUGAAACUUGAAUUUUGUGUAUCUGAACUGGGUGCUCAGUUAGUCAAUCGCAUCCAUGUAAUGAUUUGCAUUUAUUUAUUUAUUUAUGUUACUAUGCUUUGCUGUACCUGGGGAAUCAUGGCUUGGGAGGAAGAAUCGGAACCAGAAUGAUAUGUCCUUAACCUCUGAUAUUUGGUCAUGCUGCGAAUGAUUCUCAGUUUCGUCCGUUGGUUGACUGGAAGGUGGAAUCAGUGUUGGCAUGCGCAUACGGGAUCAUCAAUAUUGACAGAUCACCAUUCCCGCUUGCGCUAACCGUUUGAUUGACAUACUUUUACCAUGGAGGGUUGAGAUUUCGCCACGCCACCAUGCGCGGAAUACACUCACUGCAUUGGGUGAUACACCCAACCAUUCUUGUCUUAUUAGGAAGCAAUCUUGUUCGUUCAUUGUAUUGAUCUGAUGUUCCACAUUUAGCCACGUUUCCCCUUUCACUCAGCGAACGUUGUUGACCACAUCUGAACCGUUGGAUCGUGCAUCAAGUUUUCUUCAACGCAUGCUCACCGUGAUUAUUACGGUCACAGGAUUUGAAAAUGGAAGUUUUGUCUUCGGAUUGAAUUGAAAAGGUCGCGUGAUUUGGCUGAAAUAAUAAAAUUUCUUCCCUUUUCCUUUUUUCUUUUUCAAUUUCUGGCUUUUGUAUGUAACUUUUGUAAAUUAAUUAACAAAAUAUGUGCUUUAUUUUCCACUAUCUGUGGUUAAUUUUAUCAAGGUAGGGUGAGGUGAAGCUCUUCAUAUAAAGAUAUGAUUUAGUUAAGUUUUAUUUUUUUUAAUUGGGGAAAAAAGAUGGUAAACUUUAAUAUAUUUAUUUGUAUUAAUAACACUAGAGGUCAUUUAGAAAAUGGUAAAUUUUGAAUUAUUUUCUGUAUAAAUUGAUUAUCUUCAAACUUUUUUUUAUAUUUGAAAAUUUUAAACUGUUUUUAUUUUAUUUUAUUUUAUUAUAAAAAAGGAGUAAAUUAAGAUUUUUAAAAGGUAAACAGAAUUAUAUUUAAAUAGUCCAGGAAUAAUUAGAAAUUAACUCAAAAAUAACAUUAAAAAUGCUCUGCCCUUAUUACCACUAUGUCUAUGCGUGUUUUUGUGUUUGUGUGUGUGUGUGUAUACAGAUCCAUUGUUACUCAUCUUCGACAGCCUAGGGUUGGUCAAGCUAGAUCUAGUCUCUCUGUGUUAUGGGUGCAGGCUGAAAACAGCGGGGACGGAGAAUGAAUUUUCCCUUUUUAACUUGAAUCAAUGUAACAUUUCAAUGUCACCGCAUGCUUUGGUGCAACAUUUGUAGGUACGUAUACGUUGCAAAUCAGGCUUUCCUGCAAGAUUGGUAUGAAUUCUUUUUUAUCAUUUAUUAGGAAAAUUUCCCUACUGCAACAGCAGAAAAGGUGAAAAUAGGUAUGCUUGAACUUGUUGUAGUUAGGGGUGGCAAAGCGAAUAAAUGAAUCGAAUCGUAAGCGAAUUGGGUUAAAAUUUUAUUGAUUGAGAUUCGAUUAGUUUAAUAAAUGAAUCGAAAUCUCAGAAUUCGAAUUCGCUUCGUUUAUUAAACAAAUAUUCGGUUCGAUUCGUUUAAUUCGUUUAAUAAAAUAAACAAAUAUAAUCGAAUUCAGAUUCGUUUACUAUUUGUUUAUCCUUACGAAUUCAUAAUGAAUCGAAUUGAAUCUGGAUUCGUUUACAAUUCAUCUGUAAACUAUAAUAUUAACCUUCAAAUUUUAAAAAAAUUUCAAAUAAAUUUAAGGACAAAAAAGUAAUUUAAUUAAACGAAUGGACCAUAUUCAAUACGUUUAUAACCCAUUUAUUAAACGUAAAUGAAUAAACGAAUCAAUAUCUUUAAACCCGAAUUUGAUUUGUUUAAGUAGCAAAUCGAUUGAACUCAUCCAUUUAUUAAACGGAUCAAUUUUUUCAAAUGUAAAUCUAUUUAAUUUGUAUAAAAUCAAAUCGAAUAAAUGAACCCUAAGUUAGAUUGCCACCGCGAGUCGGAGCUGCGCUUGGCUUUAGAAGUUGGCUUUAGAAGCCCCUUUUUAUACUCGAGAGUCCAAUUAUGCUAAGACUCCACUUUUAUGGGCAUUACCUUGCAAUUUCCUUAUUUUUUAAUCGUGUCCCAUUUGGAUCAUUGUGACCUACAUGGGCUGUACCUAUUUGUGGUUUGUGUUGCCUUUGAUUUCGUGGUUGAUUUGGACAAGCUUAAUAAGUAAGUACUGUAUGGACUCUAGUUUUAUUUUCUUGUUUUGCUCGUUUCUCAGACGAGAUGGAAUAUGUCAUUCCAAUUUAUUGAAUAUUUAAAAUAACUUAGAGAAUUUCAUAAUUAAGAAAAUUCAAGGUUUCUUUUUCAUGAUUUAUGUAUUUUUUUUUCUUUUUUUGGGGGGGAUGUGCAGAGAUGCAGCUCUUCCGUCUAACACUCCAAAGUAUUCCACGUAUCUUGGAUCCUGGCGGAAGGGCUGGUAUAUGUGGCGAUUGGCUGUUGGGUUCAAGUUUAGAGUCAGCUGCCUUAAGUGGCUGGCUUGCCGAUUAUGUAAGCAAGAAUAUGAUUUUCUUUUGCUUAUUUGGUUUUACUUUUGUGCAUAGAAAUAUAUAUUUCAUGAUCGAUAAUUAAUACCAAAUAAUAAAAUCUGUAACACAACAUUUAUCUAUACCCCUAUAUACGGACAUCUAAAUAUAAACUAGUAUAUUGGCUUCAAUUAUGUUUGAAAUAUCAGACAAGUUUCAAUCAUGAGCUUCAAGCAUGAUUAUUCAUAUAUAAAUACUGUAAUUGGUCUCUGUAGAUUGUAGAUUAUUUAGGAAGUCAUGGAGUUUGUUCUGAGGAGUUUGAUGUUGGUUUGCAAACAAUUUUUCUGCCACUCGAAGGACAUGAUAUUGGGCAAUUUCUAGGUUUAGAGUCUAUGGAAAAAGACGAAGCUCAAGCAUAUCAACCUACCAUUUGAAUCAGUAGCCUUUAAAGAUUAUUAUGAGCUUUAUUGCUUGAAGCCCCACUUCUUGCCGCUGUUAGCGAUAAGUUGAAAACAGUAAUGGUUCCUUUUUAUCCACGUUACACAUUACACUCAUUCAAGAAUCUAGAGAUUACUUAACCGUGUUGUAAUUCAAGAGUGGUGUCCAACUUGGCCUAGUGGCAGCUUCUUAAAGCAAGAGUUUGGCCCAGAGGAUUGUUGCUCUCCACCAGAUGCGUUUGGUCUUAAGCUGAAUUCGCUUUUGUUGCCAAGUUCCAAUGAAAAAAUGUAACUAAAAAAAAAAAAAAACCCGAUGAUUGAAUCUUUGUGGAAAAUGAUCUGGAUGCAAUGCUGCUGCGUAGUGUGGUUUAGUUAAUUAUCCACAACAAAAGAGUUAUAAAAAUAUGUUACGUGUCCCAUUACUUAUUGAAUCAUUUUUUGGCAUCCACACUUAUUAUAGAAUAACUCAUUUUUUUUUUAUAAUGGUUAUUCAAACAGUAAAAAUUGCCAAAAUUUUUGAGUAAAAUGGUCGUUGUUAUUGUUUUUUUCCUUUUAAAACGGUGCCUUUGCUAUAUGAGGGGAAUCAUGGGAACCAGAAUGAUUGGUACUGAUUCAAGGUCCCAUAAUGAUCACGGUUUUGAGGUUUAACCCCCCACAAGGCAGAUAAGAACCUAAAAUUAAUUACAUGGUCACGUGAUUGGAAUUGCAUGGGCUGCAUGGGUAGGCUUAGAAUGAAAUGGCAUGGUGGCCGACCGCUGUACCAUGACUGCAAUUCCUGCACAGUAACAAGCAAGCUGAUUUACAUAUAUAUGCCACGUUGACAAUUAGCUUAUUUAGACAAACAUCUUAUCAAGGCACAAACGAACUUGAACGUAAAGCAAUAAUAUCCCAGCAACUAAUUGUCUUAAAAUAAUUAUUGUAAUUCUUCAUAAUACACAAUCACAAUUUUGAAGUUUUGAAAGAAAUUAAGCGACGAAUGCACCGAAAGCUUUCCUCCCUAACCCUAAGUGAUUACUUACGUAACCGUGCAUGUUUGGCCCACCUUCAGUGAAUCUUUUUUGAUUUUGGCUACCUUAUCACGAAACACAAAUGGAAGGGGACUCUGACUUAAGUCUCAAUUGACGAAACAGUAGUGCUAACACAAACAAAUAUUGGGGACUCUGACACAAAUGUGAGGUGAGGAAAUAUUACAACAUUUAGACUAGGAAUGUAAACAAAUGAAUAAAUAAAUAUAUUACUGGAUUUAAGAAAAUGAAGCCGGUGGCGAGUACAAAGGAGCUCUUAUGUGUUGAUUCCCUAAUAUCGUGUGCACUUCCUCAUAUAUAAUAAAUUUUGAAUUUUUUGUUGUUGUUAUCUAUGUCAUAAUUGUUAUAACAUUAAUGUUUUUUCAAAUAAGGAUAAAAUUGAUAGAUUUAUGAUUUUAUUAUAACACACACAGUCAUAUAUACACCUAAAAUAUAUGUAGAACCACUACCACCUUAUAUAUAUAUAAAAAAAAAGUGUAUACAACAGGUUAUCAAGGCAUACCAUUAGCACUAAAUUAUGUAAAUCAAGUUUCUUUUCCUUCAUGCCAUGUCCUUUACGGUCGGCUGAUUCGGUUUUGGUGCUUGUUGCUGAUGAGCAUAUAAUAUAUACAUAUUUUACUCUUAAUUAUAUAAUUGCUAAUUAUUAUUAUUUGUUAUUUUAAUUGAUUAAAUUAUUUUGUUGAAUGAGGAAUUAAUUAGAGAUUAUGGAUUAAAAAAGUAUAAAAAAUUUUAAUUUAGAAAGAAAUAAAAAUUAAAUUAGAAGACAAAAUUACAGUAGAGAAUUAAUGAAAGUCAAGAAGAUCAAAAUUCAAAGUCAACUUCUUUAAUAACGGACGGUGGGCAUGCAUUUAGAAGACAAACAUUUGGUGAUGGCAAUUGCAUUUACAUGACAUAAUAUAUUAUGGAAAGCAAUUUAAAGGGACCUGUGACUUGGCUUUCAAAGGUGGACAUAAACUGAUGGAUUAUGGUAUUGACAAAUAAUGAUGACAUAAAUUAGGAAAAUUGACUUUAGAAUUGGAAAUAGAAUCCCGAUUGAAUUGGGCCAAUUAAUGUAUAUGGAAUCCUUUUCAUAAUUGGUGGCCAUGGUGCUUGCAAAAGAUGCAGCUGCCAUACUCAUUUCAAAAACUUUCCGAUCCAAUGAGUUCUACAGGAGGAUUUAUAAAUUAAGUGAUAUAUUUUUAUAUAUUUUUAAAAUAAAAACUUUAAUUGCGCACCACUUGAGUUCUUAUCCAAAAUUACCUUUCCCGGUAAAGCUAAAGCAUUUUGUGUUUUCUUACACGGCAAAACAUUGUUUGUUACAUAAACAGUUCACGGCAAGAAGAGCAGCCAUUUUUGACUUUUUUGAAGAGAAUAAUAUUGGAAUAAGCUUUCGAAUUUACCGAUUACGAAUUACGAUGGCUUUCUAAGCAAAUGGGGUCUGAGAUGGACCGAUGGUUAAGUUGAGGGGAAAAUUACAGAUAGAUUCCAUCUUCAAAUAUAAGUUAAAAAUAUUUAAAGUUUUAAACUUAAUUUUAAAUAGAUUGUGAUACUUUAUUCUUUUUAAAUUUAAAAACGUUAUAUUUAAUUUCUUAUACUAACAGUUUAAAUUAUUUUACGAUAAAAAAUUCAUAUUAUCUCUGAUCAAUUUAAGUGAUUUUACAAAUAGUAAACAUCCAUCAAAAUGAUUUGUGUGUGUGUGUGUGUGUAUGUGAUAUGAUAAUAUUAUCCUUUAUAAAUUAAGUGAAGGUAAUUCCAUUUGAUUCCAUCACAUCCUGGAUUAUCUGUCAAUUUUAUUUACAUAAAAAAAUAUACAUUCUCCCAUUGACAACAUAUAAAAUAAGCUUCACCAAGUCUUUAAAAACUGUAUUGCCUACGUUGUUUAUGUUUUUCAGUUUUUAAGCCAAGAAAAAUGAAAGAGAAUUAAAGAUUACAUAAUUAGGUAAUUAACUCAAAUUAUUAAAGACAAUAUUGUCAUAACACCUGCACAAAAUUUCAUUUUCAUGGAUGCCUACAGAUUGUAAAAUAACUUAAAUUGAUUAAGGUCAAUAAGAACAUUUUCAUUGUAAAAUAACUUAAAUUAUUAGUGUAUGGGGUUUAGUACAACAUUUUUAAAUUUAAAGGGUUAAGUGUCAUAACCUAUUGAAUCUGAGUAUAAAUAUUUCUAACUUAUAUUUGAGGAGGAAUAUGUAAUUCUUCCUUUAGUUAAGUUUCUAAUCAAUUUACAAAAUGACUUUCCAUGUAAGUUAUUAAUUGUUCAGAAUUAAUGAAACCGAAGGUGAGAUAAUAACAAUUUGUUCAUUUACAUUAAAAAAAAAAAAAAGGUAUCCACCUAAUUUAAAUUUACACAUCCUUUAUAUGGCUGUUGUGUAUACAAAAGAAUACAGACACACACACACAGAGAAAAAGAGGGAGGGAGGGAGACAAAAAGAGGAAUAAAAAAAAUAUAUAAGUUACGAAAAAUUAAAAAUAAUAACAAAAUUGUUUUAAGGACUAACGAUUAAAGAAACAGGGAAACAAAAUUUUUCUUUUCAUUCAAUAAUCAAUACUAUUGAAAAAAAAAACAUUUAGACUAGGAAUGUAAAUAAAUGAAUAAAAAACGCAUAACUGAAUUUAUGAAAUGGAGCUGAUGGAGUACUAAGGAGUUCUUUUAUAUAUAUAUAUGCGCGCACACACACACGCACCAGAAUAUAUAGCAAAAUAAAUGAUAUAUCAACUAUAUCGGCAAUUAAACAGAAACGAGUGAAGAAUGAUGAUACAAGUACGUAAAAGAGAAAUGAUGAAGGAUCAGCAACUCAGGCACAAACUGAUGUACACAAGACUAGACUAGCUCAGCCCAGUAAGCAAAGCCGGAUACUACAACAAAAUUGAGAUAUAUAGCCUCUAAAAUGUGCUACUAAAAGUAGAAGGUACCACUUUUAGGAGUGAUAUGUUAGCCCAUGUUAAUAAGAGUAUAUCUUUUGGUAGCAGUUAUGGAAUGUCAUAAAUUACAUUUUGUAGCAUGAAAUAAAAGCUAUAUAUGUAUUUUCAGUAGCUUUAGGUAGACGUUACUAUUUCAUAACUCGUAGCAUUUAUAAAAUGCUACUAAAUACCUUGCCAUAGCAUAUAUAAAUGCUAUCAAAUUCUAAGUCAUAGCAUAAUAAAAAUGCUACAAUAUUCUCUUAUGAUUUAUAGCAUUUUUUUAUUGCUUAAAAUUACAAAUUUUGGUAGCAUUUAAACAUUGUUAUUAUAUUUGGUAACAAUGUAUCAUCGUUGUCAUCAUAAUUUUAAAGAAAUUGCUAAUUAGCUUAGAUAUUUAUAUCAUUCAUCUUGAUAAUAAUACAAAACUUUCACAAAUACAAGCUUUAUAAUCCAAAUGAACAAAAAGUACCAUAUAUUAUAUCAAAUAUUGCAUCAAGGUCAUAAGUUGAAGAUAAAUAUCAACUCCAAAUAAAAAUUAUGCUUGACUAUGAACAAGGGCAAAACUAUGUUGUAACAUGGGUUUGGUACCCCUUCUUUUUGUCUUUUUCAAAGUCAAUUACAAUGGAGUCCUGUUAAAAGGUAAUUAAAAUUAUUUUCAAUAUAGAAAUAGAAUAAUAAAACAAAAUUAUUACUCUUAUUUUUUAAUUAAUUACAAAAAGAUAUUUUACAUUAAAAAAUAUAGACAAUCACUGGUGACCACUGCUUCUUUGCGUGCAAUAACAUUAUUAAUCGAAAGGGGUCAUGAAGGGUACCAUUAGACUUGAAAUUGGAUGAUCUACACAAUGAUAGCCUCAAAUGCUAGAAAAUGGUGAUAUGUAGAGUUGCACGCCCCUUCCAAAAUAACUGUGAUCAUAACUACACCACAAAAACACAAGUUACAUUGCACUGCCACCUUUUUUCAAUUUAGAGACCGUCAUUUGGUUGUUAAAGGCAAUGAACCUUGAAACCCCAUUUAAUCAUAGGGUCUUGCUACAGAUGUUUGCAUUGGAAGGCGUCUCUAUCGCUGGUACAUCCAUUUAUCCGACAACAUUGCCACCAUUACACAGAUCUGAGAAUUUUGAAUAUGUUGAUAGUAUUCGUAUUUCUAUUCACUCACUUCUAUUUCUUAGUGAUGGUGUCGUCAUUGUUGUCAUUGACGGUGCAAUAAAUUUUAGCAAUGUUAUUUUGAUUUUUCAUCUAAUUUAUAAAACUUAAAUAUUAAUUAUAAUAUUCAGCAAGUUAUGGAAUUGAUUGGGUGUACGAUUUUUAAUGUGAGAUUUUGAAAUAAAGAAACUGAAUUGAGGGAUUUUUACGAAGUGUGGUGUCAUUGGAUGGUUGAGAGAAAUAUUAAAAAUAAAAAGCGUUUGGGGUUUUGUAGUCAAAUAAGAGUUUUAGGUAACAUUUAAAAAGUGCAACAAAUUAAAUGUGAAAUACAAUUAAAAAAUUAAGAAUAUUAUUCAAUGACUAAUUGUAGUUUUUUUUUUAAUAAAAUGCUACAAUAGCAUGAUAUUUGGCAACAUUUAAAAAAAAAUCUACCAAAAUUGAUAUUUGUUGUAGUAUAUAACUAAAAAUUGAAACAUAACCAUAGCAGGCUAGGAGAAGCACAGGGACACAAUGAUGCAAGUGUUGGCAGGUGGGCCACAGGUGUCUGCAAAAGAUGGGGCUACUCAUCAUUACAAAACUUGGCAAAUUGAUGAAUGAUAGGCUUUUGGUUAAGGCCGUUAAGUUUCCUCAUCCGUUAUAAAACGUGGCAAAUUUUUAUUGUUUGUUAAAUAAUAUCUUUGAUUUGCUUUAUGUUAAAUCCUUUGUCGAUUCGACCAUACACGUAGGGUAUGCCUACCUUACGAUUUAACAUCUCUUUAUAUUAUUACGUUAAACGUAAGCUAACGAGACUCACUGCUAUAGACAGAGCUACAUCUUACGUUAAACGUUAUUCAUUUAUUAAUUUAAUUAAACGUUAAAUAUUAUUUAUCAUACAUAAUAAAUAAUUAAAUUAGUAACCCAACAUGUCUUAUCCAUUUACUCUUAAUGAUUAAAUUAUUGACUUUUAGCAUUAAUUUAGUUGGAGGACUUACCACACCGCAUGCAUAGGCUUUAGAUUUUUUAGCCUUGUGCCCAUUGGACAAAGCGCAGAGGAAAAGCAUGCCACUAGAAGCUAAAAUCAUGGAUGGAGACAACGAUAAUCAGAGGAAAAAAGAAGCGUUGAAAAUAAUACUGAAAUGGAGUUAUAUACAACAUGUUAUCAAGGCAUACCAUUAUUACUAAAUUAUGUAAAUCAAGUUUAUAUAUAUAGAGAGAGAGAGAGGUAAUGAUUAUUUUGAAGCUGCUACAAGAUAGAGCACAAAUUACAGUCACGCCCGUAAAAUAAUAAAUAAAAAAUAUAUAUUAUAAUUUUAAUCGUGUAGUUAUAAAGACAUGUUUUAUAUUCUUUUAUACGUGUAUAAUGACAUAUAUACAUACACACAAAUGACAUAUCUUAUAAAUCAUUAUAAAAAGUACAGGACACAACUACAUCUGCAAUCAAACAGUAACGAGGGAAGAAUGAUUGCAGAUGUAGAUUAUAUAUAUAAACGAGGAGCUGGCUUCGUUACAGAAACUGUAUGUAACAGCCAUGCAUUUUUUAUUCGUUGGAUCUAGAAACUGAAGUUGGAUGGUUGGUAUUAAAGGUCAGAAUAGAAAUUAAUCACGGGCGACCGUUUUUAACAUUUAGAAAGGUUCAUUUUCAUGAACACCCAAAUGUUUUGAUAAAUAUCAAUAUGCACCCAUUAGCUUUUUAAGUAAAACCACACACCCAACUCGUUAACUUUUCUCCUAUUGAAUUAAAAAACUAUCAUGCCUUAAUUGAAUUAAAUUGAUCAGGUAAAAUAUCUCUUAUAACUUAUCAAUUUUUACAGUAAUAUACAAAUAUUUAGUAAAAUCAAAUAUAUUUUUAUUUAGUAAUUAGAUUUUUUAUUUAGUAAUCAAAUUUAUUUUCUAUUCAGUAAUUAAAUUUUUUUUAUUUAGUGAAAUCAAAUUUUCAUUUUCAUUUAGUAGUCAGAUUAUUUUAACAAAAAAGUUCUAAAAUCAAAUUUGACUUGUUUACUAUUUUAAAAAAUGAACUUGUUUAUUAACCAACUAGAGUUUAUCUUUAGUCAACAUAUUUUUUUCUCUAAAAUAUCCUUUGAACAUAAAAAGAAGAAUGAAAAUAAAAAGAUGCUUUACCAAGAGUUGAUUAACAAUAAUCAGUAUAUUUGAGCAUGCAAUGAACCUAUAUUCAUAUGACAUAAUAUAUAAUUUUAUUCAUCAAUUACAGUACUAAUUUUCUAAAUUUUUUAAAAAUAAAUGGUUAAAAAAAAUUUAUUUUUAUAAAAAUAAAUUAAAAAAUAAAUUUUUUUUUACAUGGACCUAAUAUUUAAUUAAGGGCAAUAAUGUCUUUGUACUAGUUAGAAAUGGCCAGUAAUUGAACUUAAACGCGUAGGACAACAAUUUGACUAUUUUAGGGUGGGGUUGAUGGCUUACAUCAAACUUAGGGUGUGCUAAUGAUUAAUAAUAAUAAUGGGGUAAAUAUGAAAUUAAUCCUUACCCAAGCAUUAGAACUUCGUUGGUUUUCUUUUAGCCGGAUAAUUUCCGGUCAAUUUGUCACGCCUCCCUACACAUGGCAGCAUCUAAUUUGUUCGCUUGUCAUUUCAGUUUCUGUUACAUACAGUUUCUGUAACGUAGCCAGCUCCUAUAAACGAACUCCUCAGUUUGUUUGAUUUAUAUAAAAGAAUUAAACCUUUUUCGAAUGCCUAAAAGAGAAAUCACGAAAGAUAGCUUUUUUCAGUGUCAAUAUAAAAUAAUUACGCUUUUACAAAUGCCUAAAAGAAAAAUCACGAAAGAUCAGCAUUUUUCAGUGUCUGUUUGUCCCGCUCGCACUGGCGCGCGUGUGUUACAGUAUUCAACAAAUUUCAUAGAAAUAUUAAAGAAAAAUCAUGAAUUAUCAGCUUUUCUCAGGGGCUGUUGUUACACCAUUCCCGCUAGCAGUGGUGUGUAUUUACGCUCUCCAAAUAUUAACCGUCCGAUUAACAUACUUUGACUAUGGAGGGGUAAGAUUUUGCACGCCACUAUUCGCAGAAUGCACCUCACUACACUGGGUCAUACACACCCAACCAUCCUUGUCUUGAUCCGAUGCUCCAAGUUUUGCCACGUUUUUCCUUUACAUGACCACAUCUGAACCGUUGGAUCGUACAUGAACUAUUCCCGGACGCGCAUCAACUAUUCCUGGACGCGCAUUAGCUACUCCUGGACCAACUUUCCACUUCAGACACACACAAUUUCCCUUUCACUCCCAUGAGUGUCGUACGCAAUAUUUACUUGCCCACGACUCCCUCCCAAAAUCCAAGAAACCCUAGCAUUCAGCUCAGGCCUCAAAAUGAGAAAUAACCCAUAUCAGCUGCACUCUGUGUUCUGGGAUGAGGAUGCAAACCUCGUUCGCUUCAAGUACCCUCUUCCAAUAGGGACGAACCAAGAGGAUGUGACGAUUGAGGUUGACGAAGAUGGGAAUUUGCUUACAAUGAAAAGCAAGGUGGUAAGUUCACAUAAUGAUCCUCUCUCUUCAGCUUUUAACUCGAUGGUCAUAUCCGGAUCUUCUCUCUUAAGCUUCCUGAGGAAAAACGAAGGAGACCCCGCCACCCCGAUUAUCUCGAUGAAAUUCAAGUUGCCAGCGGGUCUUAACCUGAAUGGCUUCAAGACUGCAAUGGAUGAUGCCGGCGUUCUAACUGUUACCUUCACUAAACUCAAGCCAGAGAAGAAAAAGCUGGUGUCAGUAGCAAAGAAGAUGCUGGGAUGUUUGGCUCAUGCUGUGCCUGCUGCUUGUUUUCUGAUAUGUGAGAAGAUAUGUGAUGCGAUUUGUUCAGGAGACUAAUAAUAAGCUGGUCUCAAAUAGGUAUUUGCUUCGUGUUCAUGUAUGUUGCUUCUGUCGUUUAUCUGCUAGUGUCUGACAUAAAGUCUGGAGUCUGUGAGUCUAGACCAUGUGUUCUCUAAUUACUGUUGCGGUAUCUAAAUGUGGAGUGAAAAAUAAAUGCUUUUUUUAAAUGUUUGUUUUGCUUUUUUUUUUUUUUUUUUUUUUUUUAUUUUUUUUUUUUUUUUUUUUUUUUUUUUUUUUUAACGUAUGCAAUAAGAUAUCCCUACUAUAGAAUCUGCAAGAUAGCAAGAUCUCUCUUUUUUUCUUUUUCUUUUUUUAAAUUGUUAGCGUUGGAAAUUUUCUUUAAGUGAAAUAGAAGAUCUUGUCUAAUAAAAAUGAUGAUGGUUGUAUCUCCUUUUUUUUUCAGAGAAAUAGAAGAACUUUAUCUAAUAAAAAAUGAUAAUUAUUGAGUGAAAAAUAAAUGCUUUUUUUAAUAGUGUUGAAUGAAAAAGAAAUGUUUGUUUUCCUGUUUCCGGCCGCCUCCCACAUCACCCCUCACCGCCGAUCACUACCCAACCAGCCGGAAGCCCCUUUGCUAACCGUUACCGCCCCAAAACGUAAAUCCAAGUUCACGGCUUCCCCAUUAAAAUCUAGCCGCCAUCUCCUCCACCACUGUUGGUGGUGUUUUACAGCCGCUUGAACCGUCCUCUGUCACCUCACAGCCACUGUCCCACAUGGUUCACCAAACCCCGUCGACCACGCAUCUCCCUUCAACGCGUGUCGGUCCAAAGCGACACAAUAAACCCUAGUUCGUUGCCAUUUUCCCGUGGCGCCACCAGCCUUCCUGCCAUUGCUGAACCUGAUGUGCUGCCUGCGGUUCACUCCACAUCAUCCCAACAGCCGCCGCUUAGCCUCCCACUGCUGCUUUUGGCCCUCUGACUCCGAAAGCCUCCUACAAUCCAAAUCCGACUCUUCACCAAACCCUAGCCCGCUUUCUCUUGGCCCAACACAGACCCUAGCGGCUGCCCUCUUUCUUUGGCCGCUCACUCCUUCACCGGUGAUGGUGGCUGCCCUCCUUUGUUUCCUUCACAGCCUCCGCACAGCCAACAAACAUCCACCUCCCAACUUGGCGGCCAUGAUUCACGCUUCCUGCCUUCAACUAGACUGCAACAGCGGAGAAGGUGAUAACUGGUAUAAGAAUAUGAAUCUCUUUUGCUUAUUUGGUUUUAUUUUGCACAUAAAAGUUUAUAUUUUAUGAUUGAUAAUUUAUAUCAAAUUAAAAAAAAAAAAAAUCUGUGACACAACCUUUAUAUCCCUAUAUAUGGAUAUGUAAAUAUGAAUCUGUGACACAACCUUUAUAUCCCUAUAAAAAAAAAAAAAUCUGUGACACAACCUUUAUAUCCCUAUAUAUGGAUAUGUAAAUAUGAAUUAGGAAAUUUUGUUCUUUUCAGUUUGAAAUAUCAGACAAAUUUCAAUCAUAAGCUUCAAGCUUUAUUAUCCAUAUAUAAUUAAUGUAAUUGGUCUAUGCAGAUUAAUUGCAGAUAUUUACUUAUUUAGGAAGUAAUGGAGUUUAUCCUGAGGAGUUUGCUUUUUGAAUUACUCUUAUUUAUUAAUUCUCUUGCUUUUAUAGCAAGAAUUAUUAGAUUGGAGUCAUUGAUGAGAGUAUAUGCUUAAUGCGCCCUAAGUUCCUGCAUAUUCCGCCACCAAAAAUAGGACUCGGCUAGAGUUAUCCAGGCUUGUGAAACUUGAAUUUUGUGUUUCAAAGUUUAGUGCUGAGUUAGCCAACCACGCCCACGUAAGUAUUAUUCAUUACUACUAUUAUCAUUAUUGCAUGUAAAUUUUGCACCACCGUAUUAUGACUACAAUUCCUGCAAUGUAAUUAGCUUGUUCAUACAUGCCGCAUAAAUAUUGAAAUGGAGUUAGGUGUAAGCAAGCAUCUUAUCAAGGCACAAAUGAACUUAAAUUCAAAUAUGGCAUUAACAUUGUGACAUGGUGUAUGGAUACAAGCUUACCCUUCGUUCUAGAUCUCUUUUGUUAAUUUUUUUUUUCCAUUGUAACGAAAAUGAUAUUUCCGAUUUUUUUACUUGACUACGAACGUAAUUAUAGUUGCUAUGGCCUUGUAGGCACGGUUGGCAGAUUUGGUAGUUUUUAAGCCAACAAAAAAAAAAUCAAAAUUACAUAAAUUAGAUAACUCAAAUUAUUAACGGCAAUAUUGUCAUAACACCUGCAUAAUAUUUCAUUUUCAUGGAUGUCUAAGGUUUGUAAAAUAACUUACAUUGAUGAGGGUCAAUAAGAACUUUUUCUUGUAAAAUAACUUAAAAAACUUAAACUAUGAGUGUAUCGGAUAGGAAAAUUCUAUGAUCCCGUAAUGAUAAUUACGGCAUCAAUACAGUGAUAAACAUAAACAUUGUAAAUUACACACAAAACUUGUAAAUGUAAAGUAAAACCAGUAAAUUCAUACAAGAUUAUUAAUUAUUGAAAAAAUUAACAUCGUUUCUAUAGAGUUUUAGUGAAAACUAUUUUAUUCAUUUACAAAAAAUAUUUUCUUUAAUAAAAAAAACUCAUUAAUUAAACAAAAAUUAUACUGAAAAAAGUGGAAUAUGUUUUAUUGAAUUUGUUUAACCAUUAAUUCUAUAUUUAUUCUAGGACAUUUGUAUACUUUUUUCCUCCCAUUUUCUAUAAUAAUAUCUAUUUAUUACAUAAGUGAAUCAAGCACAAUUAUUUAUCAUGAUAUGGAUCAAGCAAAAACAAACAAAAAAAAUUCUUAUAAUACUAGACAUAUGUACAAUAUAUCAAUGAAAUUAUAUAUAAUUUUGAGCCUUAUACAUACAGGAUUGUUCUUGAGGAAGCGUAGAAAGAUACAAAAUAACCUCAUUUUACAACAACUAUGAAAGAUAUUGAAAUAAUUUUUUUUUUAAAAUCCGAUUUUGAGAAUAAAUUUCAUCCUUAAUAAAAUAUCACAUGUAUUACAUAAAUGCAAAACUAGCAUUAUUCAAUUUAAAUUAAAAAAUAUAAGGUAAUAAACAUUGUAAUGAGUUUUUAUUUUACAAUUGUGAAAUGUUUUUGUAAUAACUCUUAUAUCAAUUUAUUUAUUUUACCUUUUAUUCAUAAGUUUUAGACGUAAUCUAUAAAAUUUAUGUUUUAUUUUGCACUUAAUGUUGAUUUACUUGUUUUAUGUUAUAUUUGUAAAUUUUCGUUUAAUUUAUCAAUAAUACAUUAAAUUACCAGCUUUAUAGUAAUUUACUUGUUUUACCUUCUUUUUACAAGUCUUUUGUUUUAUUUCUAAAAUUUAUAUUUUAUUUCUUAGUUAGUGUUGAUUUACUAGUUUUAUGUUCUAUUUACAAGUUUUUGUUUUGUUUAGCAUUAAUACAUUAAUUUACUAGUUUUAUAUUAAUUUAUUUGUUUUACCUUCCAUUUACAGGUUUUAUGUUCCAUUUUCAAAAUUUAUGUUUUAUUUUGCGCUUAAUGUUGAUUUACUAGUUUUAUGUUAUAUUUAUGACUUUUUGUUUUAUUUACUAGUAGUUCAUCAAUUUAUCAGUUUUGUAGUAAUUUACUUAUUUUACCUUUCCUUUACAAGUCUUUUGUGUCAUUUUCAAAAUUUAUGUUUUAUUUUACAGUAAAUGUUUGAUUUACUAGUUUUAAGUUAUAUUUGCAAGUUUUUGUUUUGUUUUCUAGUAGUACAUCAAUUUACUAGUUUUAUAUUAAUUUACUUAUUUUAUCUUUUAUUUACAAAGUUAUAUUUAAUUUUUAAAAAUUAUGUUUUAUUUUACACUUAAUGUUGAUUUAUGCAUUUUAUGUUAUAUUUGCAAGUUUUUGUUUUAUUUACUAAUAAUACAUGAAUUUAUCGGUUUUGCAUUAAUUUACUCAGUUUAUCUUUCAUUUACAAGUCUUAUGUUUAAUUUCUAAAAUUUAUGAUUUAUUUUACAGUUAAUGUUAAUUUACAAGUUUUAUGUUUUGUUUACAUAAUUUAUAUUCAAUUACGGUAUUGAUACCGUAACUUUAUUCACGGCAUCAUAGAAUGACCCAAAGUAUAAGGAAAAUAUUUUUAAAUUUAAAGGGUUUAUAACCCAUAUUAAUUGGGAUUCAAAUUGAGACUUAGAUGAUGGGAUACCUCAUAUUGCUCAUUUAUACUUACACAUCCUUUAUAUGGCUAUUGCGUAUACAAAAUAAUGCAAAGAGAGAGAGAGAGAGAGAGAGAGAGAGAGAGAGAGAGAGAGAGAGAGAGAGAGAGAGAAGGAAUACAAAUAAUAUCUAAGUUACAAAAAGUCAAAAAUAAUAAUAAAACUAUGGUAAUAUAUCCACGAUGAAGAGCCCAAAAAAAAAAGAUAAGAUAAUUAAAGCAUUAAAAUAUGUUCUUAACAAAGUGGGGAAAAUACUAUGUGAAAGGGAAAAAAAAACAUAUGUAUAUGUUACACGAAAGACAAAAAACUAUAAUUUGGUGUAAUUUAUUUAUUAUUAACUUAUAAAUUCAUUGAAACUCAAAAUCAAGAUUUGAGAUCACCGAAAGACUCUUUAAAUGAGAUUUUAUAUCUCAUUUGAAGAGUCACAUAAUAAAUGAGAUUCUUCAAAUAAGAUUGUCAUUCUCUCUCUUCAAUAUUAAAGAGAAAGAAGCACUAUCUAAUUUGAAGAAUGUUAAUUCAAAGUGUUUUAGAGCCUCUAAUUUAGUAUUAAAUUAGUUUUUAUCUCAUUAUUGUUGAAGAGAGAGAAGUGCUAUAAUUGCCACUAUUUUAGUAGAGUAAAAAGUUUGAUUAAAACAAAAUAAAUUUAUUUUGAUUUAAAAAAAUUUGUUGUAGAUGUCAUAUUUUUUCACUCUUCUAUUUGUCAAAUAGGUAAAUAAAUAAAUAUUUGAAGAGUAAAUUAAAAAUUUAUUUUGGUGAUGCUUUAAGAAGACGACUCUUUAGAUGGAAUUAAUUAGUCCUCGGCUUAAAAAAAAAAAAAAAAGACUAAAGUUUAUGCUUGUCCAAAAAUACAAAAUUGUCGAUCUAGUAACCUUCAAUAUUUUUGGACGGUUUGAAUUGAACAUAAGCUUCCAGAGAUUUCUUCCCAACAAGUGGAUAUGUGUGCUCGCGCAGUCGCACUACUUAAUAUGAGUAUGACCCCCCACCUACCGGCUGCUAGUUUUCUCCAUGCCACAUCAUAUUACACGCAUUGAGUUUGCAAUUUUGAGGUUUAAUUUAGCCGAAAAAAUGGUAGCUUGAUAUGAUUUGCGCCUAAUUCCUUGUCUAAAUUAUUUUAAUUACCUAAUUAAUAGUCGCUUGAUAUGAUUCAAGUGGGAAUAUAGGCACUCUUUCGAUGAUGUGACUAAGAUGACAUAGCCCGGGCAACGUCAUUCGGAUUUGCAUAUGGUUAUGGUGGGGCAAAGCCUUUUUGACAAUCUGCGUCCAGAAAAGAAACUAGAUGCCGAAAGAAAUAAUACAUGUGGUACCCCAUUAAUAAUUAAAAUAAUCCAUGUUCGUUGAAAACGUCAGGUCACACGUCACAACUUUUUGUUUUCAGAUCGGUUGGCAAAAUCCGGAUGUAGGCGCAUUCGGAUCCGUAUUUAUAUUUUUGUACUCGUAUAUGCAUUUGGAUUUGUAAAAUAAGAUGUAAAUCCGGAUAUAGGUAAUAUUCGCAACAGAUGCGAGUGGAUAUUUUGAAUAUCCGGAUUCAUAAAAAUUAAAAUUUAAUAAUUUAAUAUAUAAUUUAAAAAUUCAAUAAUUUACUUAAUAAUAUCAAAUCAAAUCUAAUCAUAAUUCCACAAUUAAUAACUCAAAGUGAAUAACAUACAAUAAUCUUAUAAAUCUACAAAUAAAAGUUAAUUUUUAAUUUAAUUUUCAUUUUAAAAUAAAAUUCAAUAAUUUACCUAAUAAUAUCAAAUAAAAUUCAAUCAUAAUCCAACAAUUAAUAAUUCAACAUGAAUAAUAUAAUAACAUCAUAAAUCCACAAAUAAAAUUUAUUUUUUAUUUUUCAUUUAAUUUUAAUAUAUAUUUUUAAUUUAAUUUUUAAUUUAAAAUAAAAUUUAUCCCGAUCCAAAUCCGUAUGGUUCCCAAAUUUUCAUAUUCGGAUCUGCAUUUUUUAAUAUACGGAUUUGGAUUUUUCCGGAUCUGGAUCUUCCGGAUCCUUACAAAUCUUAGCUGGAUCCAGAUUUAACUGUCAUCCCCAUAUCAUAUUUUGGCUAGGUCAUAUUUUGGCGAUUGCGGUUCGAUGUUCUUGCUUAACUUUUUAAGGAUUUUAUUAGACCUAUCUACAUUAGUUAUUAAUGGCUAAAUUUGUUAUCCUUGUAUUUUUUUUUUAUUUUACGCUUUUCCAAAAAUGCAUCAUAUUGACAUAAGAUCUUAAUUCUAGAACAUCCCGCUUGUUUGCUUUUAGCCUCAUCGUGCAUAAUUGAAACACACUUCACUUCCAUUACUUUUUAUUUUUUUUGGGCUUACUUUUACAAUAUUACUCUUUUAUAAUAAUUUUUUUAUUUGGACAUUAAUAAAAAAAUAAUAAUUAAAUUACCAAUUUAACCCUAGAAAAUAAAAAAAAAUUACAUUAAUUUUUUUGCAAGCACCAUUUGCACAUUUGGUAGUUUGCAUACAAUUUUUGACAAUUAAAAAUUAAUACAAUUUUUUUAUUUUUUAGGGUUAAAUUGGUAAUUUAAUUAUUUUCUUUGUAUUAAUGUCCAAACAAAAAAAUUAUUAUAAAAGGGUAAUAUUGUAAAAGUAAGCCAAAAGAAAUAAAAAGUAACGGUAGGGGUAUCAAUAUUUUAACGGCAUGGAUGUUUUGAGGUAUUUUUAAAAAUAUAGGGAUUAAAUGGAUACUAAUUUUAAAAUACAGGGAUUAAAUGAGCUUUUACCCUAUUUUUUUGGUUGAUUAAAAUGCCUAUAACAAAGAUUAAUUCAGAAAAUUUAAUUGAUUUAUCCUACAAACUGAGACUGUGCAUGGAGUUUGAUUAAGAAGAAGUAGCAUGUGAAUUCUAUAAUAAGCAUACUUAUGAGAUUAAGGAUAAAAAUAUCACAAGCACAUGGAAUUAGGCAUAUUCAGAUCCUAUUCAAGUUCCCGUCGGACCCGUUACAAGAGCUCGAGCAAAGAAAUUCAAAGAAGCGCUUAAUGGAUUGAUUCAAGCAACUUGGGCUCAAUCAAAUUCGUGGAGACCCAUUGAAGGAAUCGCACAUGAUAAAUGCAUGAUUCAGGCUCUUGAAGUUUCCAAAUAGUCACUUCCAUGAAAUAGGGAAUUGGCUUAAACAUUAUGGUGGGAAAAUAUAUUAUUUUCCUUUUUCAGAUACUUUCCCAUUUAUUGAGGAGGCUAUUAGGGAAUCAAAUCAGUUAUUUCUAUUUUAAUCGCUCAAUUUCCAUUUAAUUGAUGUAAGGCAUUUAAGACAAUUAGGAUCCUGAUUUAGUUUAAAUUCUUUCCUAUUUACUUAGAUUAAGAUUCUAAUUUGAUUUAGAUUCUUUCCUAUUAGGGAAGAUUUGGAUUUAGAUUUGAUUUUUGGGUUAUGAUUUAUUUCCAAAAAUUCUUGUAACCAACCCUAUAUAAAGUACUCAUAUUCAAUAAACAGAGAAGAAGUUUUUGAUGCAAUUGGUGAGAGAGUUAAUUCUCUUUAGUUCUUUACGAACUCUUUGAACUUAUCCGAUUUCCGUGGCGUUCAAAUUCUUGACUUAUCAAUCAGACCAUCCAUAACUGAUUGUGGCGUCUUCACAUACCAAGGUUCGUGCUUUCAAUAAGCAUUGGGUCGAGAUUCCAUUCCAUUUCUGGUUUAGAUUCGAUCUUGAGAACUAAAUUGAUUAGGGUCGUGUCAGUUCUUGACGGGGUUCGUAUCACAUACCUUAAGUAUGGGCUUUAGUAUUAGAAAAGAUACCCAUGCUAAUAAUAAGUGUAAUAGUGAAAUUACAUCCAAAGUUUGUGUUUGUUGCAAACAAGGUUAUCGAUAGAAAGCCAAACAGAUCUUCCAAAAGUAAAGUAUAGAGCAAAUACAAGAGCCAUGUAUCAUGCUGGAUUAUUUAUCAAGCAAAAAUGAAGAAGAAUAAUUGGUUCGUUAAUUAUUUUAUUGAGUCUCAUAACCAUUCGCUUCUAAUGCAAGAGUGUGCCCACAUGCUACCUUCUCAAAGACAAAUAAUUGUUUCGCUAGCAAUUGAAGUAGACUUGGCAGAAGAAUCCAGGAUUUCACUUAAAUCUGCAUAUAGUUAAUGGGCAGACAAGUGGGAGGGCGAGAACCUCUUGGAUACACAAAAUUAGAUCAAAAUAACUAUUUUAGAACAAAGAAAUAGAAAGAUUUAGCUUACGGAGAAGCAGGGUAUUUAUUGAAAUAUUUUUCUGAUGAAACUUUAAAAAAUCCAUCAUUUUUAUACUCUAUGCAACUAGACAAUGAGGAACGGGUCACAAAUAUAUUUUGGGCAGAUUCUAAAAGUAUUAUUGAUUAUGGCCAAUUUGGAGGUGUUUUAAGUUUUAAUACAACUUACAAAGUAAAUAAAGAAAAUCGACCAUUUGCAACUUUUGUUAGAUUUAAUCAUCAUCGAGUGACAGUUUUAUUUGGGGCAGCUUUGAUGUAUGACAAGACUAAUAAUUUAUUUAUAUGGUUGUUCAAUUUGAAGGCAAUAUCUGCGAAAUCACCAUAAAUGAUCUUCACAUACUAGGAUGCUGCAAUGACUUAAGCUAUUUCUCAUGUAAUGCCUAAUACUACAUGGCAUAUGAUGCAAAAUGUCUUAAAGCGUGUAAAUAAUGUUUUUAAAGGUCCUAAAGGGAUAAAAAGUGAAUUAUCUACUUUCAUGGAGUCCAUUGAAGAGAAAGUUUAGUUUUCGAGUGCUUGGAAAGCAAUGCUUAAGGAAUAUGAUGUGUAUGAUAAUAAUUUGUUGAAAAUUGUAUUUGAGUUAAAGGGAGAAAUGUGCUUAUGCAUAUAAGGCAAGCAUGGUUAGCUAGAAUCAAUAGUAACCAACUUAGUGAGAGUUUUAAUAUUAUAACAUAAAAGAUUACCUCAAGUGAGACCUCAAUGUAGCAUAAUUUCUUAUGCAUUUCGAGAGGGUAAUUAAUGAUAAAAAGUACAAGAAGUUGGAAGCAGAGUACGAUUUAUGCUAUAGGCUAGUUUUAUUUUUAAAGAUUAACUGAAGAAAAUUAUUAUGAGUAAUGCAUUUGUUGUUGCUGUGUGGUAUUCAAGAUAAGUUUCAGCACUUAUUUCACUUUAUGCUUUUUAUAUUUUAAUUGAUGAGUUAAUUGAUUUAAAGUUUUGUUUGCUUGAGUUCAUAUAUUAUAUAGAUUGACGGAUGCAAAAUUUUAUGUAGUUUUUUAAACUUCAUUAGCCAAGACAUUUAUUUCAGAGUGGAGGACAUUCUUACAUUUGAUGCAUCCAUGAAAUUUCACAUUUUAUUGUUUUCAACGAGCACAACUCAGCUCAAUUGAAAGCUAUCUCAGAAACAGAACAAACUUUAUACAGAAAUUGAACUUCAGACGCUAAUAAACAUCUAAAAUAGUUUUGUUACUAGAUUAUAAUCGAAGACAAUAAAAAAUAUUGCAUUUUCCCUUCAUCAUAAUAAUAAUAAUAUGUAUUACGUAAAAUAAGAAUGACAUGAUAAGCGUGGCAUUUUCCCUUCAUUAUAAGAAGGGAAAUUAUCAGCUAUAUACUCUUAAAUGAUACCAGUAUCAAACGUGCUACAACACUUUUCAAGUGUAUCACUCGUAUACUCUAAGUUGACAAAACAUUUUUGCCGAGUGCCGUCCAUCAAUCCGUUAACUGCCAUUUGCAAGCGCUGACAUCAUAAGGGUAAUCUAGUCUUUUUAAAAAAACGACAUGUCAUCCCAUUUACCUAGUAAAAACGACAUGUCAUAUGAUAUAUUUUGAUACAAAUGACAUGUCAUCACAUUUCUCGGAUAAUUGUUAAUAAUUACUUUAAAAAAAGCUACUUUACAACCGAAUCUACUCCUCCAAAAUUCAACCUAAAUUAUUGAAGAUAUACUCCUCUAAGCUCAAACUUGAAUUUUUUAUGGUAUAAGAUGAAUUUUUUUUAUGGAUAAUUGUUAAUAAUAUGUACCAUUAAUAAUUUAUAUUUUUUUUAAUAAAAAAAUGUAUUGUUAAUAACAAAAUAAAAAAAAUUAUGUAUUAAAAAUUUAUAUUAAUUUUUAAGGUAAAUUUAUUUUUUUACUUAAUUUUGAGUUUAAAGGGUAAAAUAGUCAUUUUGCUAAAAUUCUGUUAAGUUCUUAACGGUAGUAAACGGAAAGAUAGACAUCAGAAUUCUUUUAUCAACUUAGUAUAUACGAGUUAUAUAAAUGAAAAAUAUUAUAGUACGUUUGAUACGAAUGUUAUUUAAGGAUAUAUGGCUGAUAAUUUUCCUUAUAAGAAUGGCAUGUUUUCUAUAAAAUCUUUUCUUUUUCCUUUUUUUUCUGCCCUUCUUCUAUUUUAGCUUCCACGUAUUGGGAAUUAGUUGUUAUUGAUUUGGUGAAAAUGGAAUUUGCACUAUUUGGAUCCUAAGAGGGGGCAAUCAGGAUCCUGAUUCAUUGUUCAGAUUUCUUCAAAAAGAAUAUUUCGGUUAAAGAGUGCAGAGUAGGGCACAAAUGAUUAAAGCAUUUUGCAGAUUUCUUUUUUUUUUUUUUUGGAUCCCACAUCGACUAGGUGGCCAAUUCACUCCGUUUUUUCUUCACUUCCAAAAUUCAUUGGCGUUAAAGGGAUGCGCUCUAUUGCUGACCUUUUAUUGGCCCAGGUAACAAAUCUUUUUUCCUUUUUUUUUCCCCUUUUAUGUUCUUUUGUUGUUGAUUCUAUCACGCUUCUUUGAUUAAAACAUGGGGAAGUUGUCUAAUUAAGUCACAAUGGUAAGAAUCUGCAGUAUUGUUUUGAAGUUUGCUAGUGUUGAAACUUGGCUCCCAAAAUCAUUAUAGUUUUGGGUUUGGACUAGAGAAGGAAGAUAAGAGUAUAUCAAACUAAAACCACAAUUACUUGAUCACAUUAUAUCAGUUUGCUUAGGCUAUAUGGGCUGACUUAAUGAAAUAGUGACGAUAAUGAUCGUAACUGAGGAAAAGAAGAACAAGCAUGAACAUUUUGCACCACUGUAUUAUGAAUAUAAUUCCUUCAAAGUAAAAGGCUCUAUAUGGAGUAUUAAUAUUGAGUUGGAGUUAGUUAUAUACAACGUGUUACUUGGUAUUCCAUUAUUAUUAAAUUAUGCAAAUCUGUUCCUUUGUCCUUCAUGUCAUGGCUAAAUACUUUUUCAUGCUUGUUGCAGACCUCUGUGGUUAGUGUAGUGAAACCUUGCUGGAUCUUGAGCCCAUUAAUGGGAUGUGGCACUUGAGCGAGAAUGGAAAACCUCGUGGGCAGAUUGAUGUAAUUAUUAUUGGUGAUACAGUGCUGCUACCUUUGCUCCCUCUCUCAUCAAAAAAUUGUCUUAAAAUUUUGCACUAAGAAAAUCUGUGUUUUUUAUAUUGCCGUGGCAAAAUGUUAAAUGGGCUUCACUUUUUUUUUUGGGGUGGGGGGUGGGGAUAAAAAAGAAAACAAAAGAAAAUUUUCAAAUUUUACAUUCCAUCAUUACCUCGGACUCAGGAGUGGGGAAAGGUUAAAGUUUUGUACAGUAAUAUAGAGAAACCCUCUGCCAAUCCAAACCUCUGUGAAAGGGAUCCCAUUUCAUGACAAUCUUUGUGGGUUUUGAGUUGGAAUACUCUGGCAGGUUAGAAGUUGUUUCAAUUAAUUAUCUAUAACAUAUGAGUUGUGUUAAAUUGUAUGACUAUAUAGUGAUUCAUUGUAGGAUACUAGGACAUCAAAGAGCUCAAAAUUUCUGACAGAUUUUCUUCCUAAAUUUGGUUAAAAUGUGAUGGAUAGAUUAGAACUAAGUUGCUCAGCAAUUUGUAGCUGUAAACAUCUAGAAGGCUGGAACUAAAUGCCAUUUGAUUAGGUUAGAAUAAUAUGAGCCGAGCUUACAAUCUUUGUCAUUCAUUCAAUUGCUUUUUCAGAUGACCACAAUUCAUCAUGUUGAUAUUAUCCGAUUGGUGCCUUGUAAAUUUCCUUUAUGACUAUGAUAUAGGGCAUUAUUGAAGAGUUGAAAAUAUCCAAAGAAAAUUAGCGAGAAUAGGUUCUGGAUUAAAAAGACAACUUUAUGCAUGUUUCCUUUCUGCUUCAUCAAUUGAUUAUAGACCAUUAAUUACCUAUGCCCUUUUUUGUUUCGGCUUUGCUUUACAGUAAUAGUGCCUAGAUGUAAUGAUAGGAAAAUGUGCGAAUCGGUUGUCUAUUCAUCUGGUGUACCUCUAAUAGCUAGAAAAAUGAAGGUAUAUAUCCUUUGAAAUAUUCAGUUUGUUUAGUGUCUAAACUAUGUUUUGUUCAGUCAACCAUUCCUAAAUUGUUUCGAAGCUUCAUGCUGCAUUUAUCCAGUUUGUAGAGCCUGGAACUAAGUUCUAUAUGGACAGUUCUUGCAGCAUCUGAGGAUCCCCUUCUGCUAGUAGUGCAGCAUCAUUAAAGGCACCUUUGUUAAUGGUGUUGAUUCUGUCUCAUGGACGGCAAAUAACUCAGUGAAGCUUUUUAGUUCCCAGAGUGAUGGUACUCAUUGUUGGACCUUUUUCAGCGCUGCAGCUUAUGGAAAAUGAAACAAGGUUCCACAGAUCUGUUGGUACAUAAAUGUGUGUCUUGUUUAAAAUACUUGUUUUCACAUGAUUAUAUGCUAGCAUUGACACACUUUUUUAUCAAUUGCCUAGACCUGUUGAAUCCAUUCAUACUUCAGCUUGAAAUCCGAGCUAUUGAAACAAGGCUGCAAUGAGUUCAGUUUUGGACUAUCCUUAUAGUUGUCCUAUUUCCUUUAUGGUUAUAAGUGCUGCGUUUGGCAUAUGAAUCUAAUUGAAUGAAAGUGAAUCAGGGGUUGGUCUUAAAAGCGCAUAUUGUUCAAAUACAAAAAGUAAUAUUAUUUGAGACAAUUCAUACGGCUUCCUUUGAGUGAAAAAUAGUCAUAUUACCAUUUAAACUGGCAUGAUAUGUUCUUCCAGUUUAUUUGAAGAAUUAUGAGAAGAACCUCAGGUGUGUUAACUAAAAAAUGCCCAAAAUGGACUGUUCAUAUUCAUGCCACUGAAUCCCAGGUAUGUUAAUUUUAAACUCCAAUUAAAUGCUCUAAUCUUUCUUCACUCAUUUUAGCAUGUAUUCCAUAAUUCAUGCUUUCUUCUUCCCCUUUUAAUUUUUCCUCUUCUUCUCUUUUAGCUUCCGUAGUAUUGGGAAUCAGUUGUUAUUGAUGUUGGAAAAAGGAAUUGUUUUAUUUGGAUCAUAAGAGGGACAAUCCUGAGCUUGAUUAUGUACUUUCCAUUUGACGCCAUUUAUAUUUAUAGGCUUCUUCAAUAAGUUGAUGUCGUUAUCUGUGUGAAUAUUUUUAGCUCUUGUAAUAAUGCUAUUUGAUUUCUGAUAACUAGUAAUUGGGUAUGGAAAGUGAAACAAGGUUUCCCAGGUCAGUUCAUAAAUAAAUAUAUGUUUACAUUCACGCACUUGCUAGUCAAUUGCUUAGAGCACUAGCAUAGUAGAAUAGCUUCACACUUUAGCUUGAAUUCCCAAGCUAUUGAAUGAGUUCAGUUUUAUGUGCAUAUUUAUUUAGAUUUGGUAAUAAUAUUAGCUUGAUUUUCUGCGUUAUACUUUGAAUCAAUAUAAUGUUUCAAUUUUACAGCAGAGAUUUAUGUUGCUAUUUAGCUUCAGAAAUAUCAGACAAGGAAUUUCAAACAUAAGCUCGAAGCUUGAUUAUUCACAUAUAAAUAAUGUGAUCUAUGUCGAUUGCAGAUUAUUUAGGAAGCAGUAUAGGUCAUACUGAGGUGUUAUCGUGCACAAAAUUAUUGUUUCAUCUGACAUAUUGUUCGCUUAAGCAAUAGUAAUGAACUUGAGGUGUUAGUUUUUGAAGUCUUCUGUUUAUAUAUAAGUUGUAUUGAAUCUCUCUCGACAAUCUUUCUUCUAGUUUUGAUCAUUGCAUCAUAAUUUUCACAUCUGUGUUUAUAAUAUAACUCUGUGCAUUACUUCAUCUUUUUCUCACUUUUUGAUUCCUUGCAUCUUGAAUCUGUUUAAUCAAUAUUCUGGACUUCUUUUGUGGAGAGGCUGCCCUUCUGAGAAUCUGUUUUCAGUUAUCACUUACCCCUUCUAAUAGUUUGCAAACCAGAUGUGGUUUUUGCAUGUUCAUAAACUUGCAAUGUAAUUUGUUUAUUAGUUCAGUUAAUACAAAUUUCAAAGAUGAAAAACACAAAACGACUAUUUAUUCCAAGCGUAUAUAUUUAUAUCUUGGACAGCAUUGAACUCUUUUUUUUAAAAAAAAAAAAUUGUUACAAUUGCCACAUUUGUAAUCUAAAAUUUAUUGGGAAUCUAGAUACAGACACUUAGUAGUGCAAUCAAAAAUAAAAAAAAUCUGUCGGACAUUAACUUGAAAAUAUGUUUCUACUACUAUUUGGAGAAGUGUAUAUUGUACGUGGCAUUGAACUUUUCUUUCUAUUUCUUUUUUCAAAAUUAUUACAAUUCACACAUAUUUCAUUCUAAAAUUUGUUGAGAUUCUAGAUACAAAUACUCAAGGAUACAAUUUUAAGCAAAUGAGCAGUUUGCAUAAUAUUUUACUCGUGGAGACUGGAGAUAUCUACCCUUAAUUAUUUAGUGAAAAUAAAUUAGAUAUCAAAUUUUGUCAUAACAAAAUUAAUCCAAAACAAAACAAAAGAUGUCACCUUAAUUGUUGAUAUAUCUGAAUCUUAUUAUCCUCCUUUUGCAACUAUGAAAACAAAAGAAUAUUUCAGCAGUGGCGAGAGAGCAGGGCAGAAUCAAGUAUAAAACAUAGGAUAAGGAACGAGAUUAUAACGAACAAAACUACCACUAAAUGAUGACAACUUUCAUUUCAUUUGCAUCUUCAUCCUCUCUGAUUCUUCAACCCCUUAAACCCCCAAAAUCCUCAAGACUCUCAAAAGCAAAGACACUAACUUCAACCAUUAAAGCAACUUCUUCUCAACCAAAACCCAACAACGCAAAUGCUAAAAAACCCACUUCAAGAAACCGCAGAAGAUCAUCGUAUGGCAGUUCGAGAAGGUCAGCUCUCAAGAAAACAUUCGCCCAAGAGCAAGUCACGUUCACUACACCCGUCUCCAGUGACCCGUGUGUGGGGAUUAUUGGUGGAGGCAUGGCCCGUCUCGCACUCUCGCUUGUGCUUUGAGUUUGGAUAAGAGAGGUGUAAAGUCCACUAUUUUUGACACGGUUUGUCACUUGUCUGGUUUCUUGGCCUUUUUUUUUUCUGUACUUUUGUGUUUUUGAUUGGAGAGCUUGAAGUGGGUGGCCAAUUCAAUUAUCUGUUUAAUAUGGUUAGGUUGUGUUUGUAUUUGAGAGUAUACGCUUGUAUAAUGGUAAUGUAAAAAAUUUGCUGUCAACAGUCUAGCAUGUGUUGUUAUGCAUUGAAUUUUGAUUAUAAGCAUCUUUUGGAAUUGAGGUGCUCUGACCUUUGAUCUGCGUUUGUUGAGGAAUGAAAUUAAAACAUUAGCUGCUAAAUAAAAAUGGGGGUUCAUCAAAAUUUUAGUCAACCACAUUUAUGUAUUCUUAACACUGUGCUUUGCUAUAUCAGGGGAAUCAUGGCUUGGGAGGAAGAAUGGGAACCAGAAUGAUUGGUCCUCAACCACUGAUAUUUGAUCAUGCUGCUCAAUUCUUUACUGUGACUGAUUCUCGGUUCAUGAGUUGGUUGAUGGUUGGUUGGAGAGAGGUCUGGUGUGACCAUGGGAAGGUGCGAUUGGAGAGCUUGAAGUGGGUGGCCAAUUCAAUUAUCUGUUUAAUAUGGUUAGGUUGUGUUUGUAUUUGAGAGUAUACGCUUGUAUAAUGGUAAUGUAAAAAAUUUGCUGUCAACAGUCUAGCAUGUGUUGUUAUGCAUUGAAUUUUGAUUAUAAGCAUCUUUUGGAAUUGAGGUGCUCUGACCUUUGAUCCGCGUUUGUUGAGGAAUGAAAUUAAAACAUUAGCUGCUAAAUAAAAAUGGGGGUUCAUCAAAAUUUUAGUCAACCACAUUUAUGUAUUCUUAACACUGUGCUUUGCUAUAUCAGGGGAAUCAUGGCUUGGGAGGAAGAAUGGGAACCAGAAUGAUUGGUCCUCAACCACUGAUAUUUGAUCAGACAGCAUCUUACAUGGCAUACCUUUAUUUUUAAAUUAUUUAAAUAAGUUCCUUUGUCCUUCAUGCCUUUAAUGCAUUUUGAUUCUUGUUGCAGACCUCUAUGGUUAGCAUAGUGAGACCUUGCUGGAUAAGUAAUCUUGAGCCAUUUAAUGGAAUGUGGCACUUGAGGGAGAAUGUGAAACCACGUGGGCAGUUUGAUGUGGUUGUUAUUGCUCAUAAUGGUGAUUCAGUGCUGCUAUCCUUUCUCGUUUUCUCUCUCUGUGGAUUGUUAUAGUCUUACAUUUGCAUUCCAAAAAUGCAGGUUAUUGUUUUUCGUAGUUGUAUGAACGUGACAAUUGCCUUUGCUAUUGGAAAAAAAAUAAAAUAUUUCUGAUUUUACUCUCUAUCAUUACAGUGGAUUAGGAAUGGAAAAUAAUCUGGUUUAUUACAGGGAAACCCUACCGAAAUCCAAACUCGGUCCCUCUCCCUAACCAUCCUGGAAUACCCUGGGGGGUUAGAAUGCAUAUAGUGUUACAUUAUAUGAUUUUGUAGUUCGCUGAGUUCUUAUGUUUUCUGGGAUACUAGGACUUCAAAAAGCGCUGAAAACUUCAUAGAAUUUCAUACUGAUUUUUCACUGUCAAUUUGGAGAAAAUGAUGGCUAGAUUACAAGUAAGAUUAAGAGCGACUUUUAAAUUUAAUCAACUGGAAGACUGGUAUUGAAUGGCUAUUAGUUAGGUUAGAAUAAGAUGAGCUAGACUUUCAAGCUGUGCCAUGCAUUCACUGGCCGUUGUAGUAUUACGUAGGUUGUUAUGGAAGUAAAAAAGAUCUCUAUAAAUUUAACAACCAGAUUAGGUUUCUAGAUCCAGAAGUCGAGGUUAUGUUUAUUUGCUUACUCUUUCGACUGUUAAUUGCCUAUGUCUUUUUCUGUUUACAUUUUGGCUUAGCUUUGUAAUAAUAGUUCCUUCAUGUAAUGAUAGGAAAAUGUGCAAACUGGUUGCUUGGUUCAUCUGGCUUACCUCAAAUAGCUAGACAAAUGAAGGUAUAUGCUUUGAAAUAUUCAGUUCUUUUAAUAUUAUCUAGCCUAUGUUUUAUUCAGUAUUGGCCAGUUCUAAUUAUUUUGAAGAUUCAUAACUCAUUUUCCUGGUUUGUAGAGGCUGGAACUAAGUUCUAUAUGGGCCCUUCUUGCUGCAUUUGAGGACCCCCUCCCACUGGGCAGUGCAUCAACAUUUGAAGGCGCCUUUGUGAAAGGUGUUGAUUCUGUCUCAUGGAUGGCAAAUAACUCAGCAAAACUUUUGAAUUCUCAGAGUGAUGCUCCUCACUGUUGGACCUUCUUCAGCACCGCAGCUUACGGAAAACAAAACAAGGUUCCACAGGUCAGUUUGUAUAUAAAUGUGGGUCUUCUUAAAAGUACUUGCUUACACAUGAUAAUAUGCUAGCAUUGGCACACUUUUUAACCAAUUGCCUAGACCUCUACUUGAAUCCAUUCAUGCUUCAGCUUGAACUCCAAGCUAUAGAAACAAGGCUGCAAUAAGUUCUGUCUUUUUGUGCAUAUUUAUGUUCCCUUUUAUACUUGAAUCAAUAUGACAUUUCAAGUUUACAGCGAACUUUGGUGCUGUGUGGAUAUAUAUAUGUUGCAAUUUAGGCUUUCUGCAAGAUUUUUAAUGAUUUUUUUAUCAUUUAUUAGGAAAAUAUCCCAACUGCAACAGCAGAGAAGGUGAAAAAAGGUAUGCUCGAGGGUGUUGAAGCUGCACUUGGCCGACCGAAAGGUUCACUUCAGAAGCCCAUUUAUACUCGAGUCCAUUUAUGGUAAGACUCCACUUUUAAGGACAUGACCUUGUAAUUUCAUUUUUUUAUCUUGUCCAAUUUGGAUCCUUGUAACCUACUUGACCUGUAAAUAUUUGCUGUUGGUGUUGGUUUAGAAUGAGUGGUUGAUUUGAACAAGCUUAAAAAGUUAUUGUGUGGACUUGUGUAUAGUCCUAGUUCUAUUUUCCUGUUACGCUCAUUUUUAAAAAAAGAUGGAACAUGUCAUUCCAAUUUAUUAAAUAAAUAAAACAACUUCAGAAUUUCAUGAUUAAGAAAAUAGUUCCUAUGUGAUGAAUUAGGUAUUUAUUUAUUUAUAUAUCUAUUUUAUUUAUUUAUUUUUUUGGGGGGGAAAUGUGUAGGGGUGCAGCUCUUCCAACUAAUACUCCAAGUAUUCCAUGUAUCUUUGAUCCUCAUGGAAGGGCUGGUAUAUGCGGCAAUUGGCUGUUGGGUUCAAGUGUAGAGUCAGCUGCAUUGAGUGGCAUGGCUCUUGCCAAUCAUGUAAGCAAGAAUAUGAUUUUUCUUUUGCUUAUUUGGUUUUAUUUUGUGCAUGUAACUAUAUAUUUCAUGAUUGAUAUAAAUAAAAUAAAAUAAAUCUAAGACAACCAUUCUAUCCCUAUAGGGACAUCUAAAUAUAAAUUUGCAGGUUGGCUUCAAUCAGAUUGAAAUAUCAGACAAGUUUCAACAACAUUAGCUUGAAGCUUGGUUAUUCUUAUAUAAAUAACGUAAUCGGUCUAUGUAGAUUGCAGACUAUUUAGGAAGUGGUGGAGUUCGUCCUGAGGAAUUUGCUGUCGGUUUACACAACGAGUUUCAAUUGCUCGAAGGACAUGAUAUUGGACAAUUCCCGGGUUUGGAGUCCGUGAAAAAAGAGCAAGUUCAAGCAUAUCAGCUUACUUCUUGAAUCCCUAAGCAGGCCACAAAAAUUUCUGGAGUUUUUCAAGGUAUACUUCUAUUGAUACACUCUUUAUGGCUUUCUUUUUUUCACUUGGGUUACUGUCAUGUUAAUUCUCUUGGUUUUUAUGGCUAGGAUUAAGAAGUUUAUUCACAAAAUGCAGUUAUUGGCAUAGUUGCUAAGCAAGCAUCCUGAAAUUCUUUUUGUGAUACCAUCCAUUAUGAAACGUAAAUGAGUACAGAUGCAAAGGAGAGCGGAUUCUUGGAGCAGCUAAAUCCUUACAGAAAACUUGUUUUCAGUAGCAUAGGUGACAGGAAUUGUGAUAUUUCCCUGGCUUUCAUGGAAGAAAAUAAAAAAUUUCUAAUAACUGUAACCUUUUUGAGUUCUCCACAAAUCAGUUUGAAUAUGAAGCCAAAUAUCAGAUGCAGAUUUUAGAGCAACAAAGUUCAAUGCUAUCAGUUGUUUUGGGUUCAAGUGAUCAGAGCUUCAUCCGGCACAAGCUCGCCUAACAGAGUAUGAAAAAUAUUGAAACCUACAGUUAACAAUUCUCAAGUUCCAUAUUUGACCUGUAAUCACAUUCAAGUUAAUACAUGACUACUGAUAUAUGAAAUGACAUUUUUAUUCAGUUCCAGGAAAGUCGCAUGCAGAGGAUUUAAGUUUCAUAUUAAUGGAAUGGUUUUGAGCUUUAUUAUUAGAUUUUAAAAAAAAAAUAAUUAAUGGAGUUAACAUUACUUAUUACAGGACAAGAAAGAGAGAUUAAUUCUCCAUGGGAAAAGCGUUGAAAGAAGCUUCUCAUGCGCGUAAUCAGCCUCUCAGUUGCUUACCAUGGCAUCUUUUCCAUACUUAUGCACAUGUUGAUAGAAUUCUUUCUUGGUUAAAUAAUCUGGGACAAAUCGCUGUUCAUUGGCAACACGAGCAACAAAAUAUCACACAAAUUAAUUCCAACAAAAAUAAUAUUUUUACACGAGAGACUUGUGUGAGAGAAGAGGGUUAAUUAGAUGAUUACUAUUGAGAUCACAAGUAUGAGCGAAAUGAACACAGGCAAUUGAACAAACCGUGACAGAGUCUAUCCAGCUGAAGAAAUCGAAAACUCUUCGGCAUUUGUCUGCAAGCUUUAAAGCCGUCGGAAAACCAUUGUGCUUCUGCUAAAUUAACUUGAUAGCCAGCAACAAAAACAACAAGAAGAGCCCAGCACAGUAGCAGUUUCUAGUUUUUCAUGCUUCCCUUCUUUUCUUUCUUGAGAUUGAAAUGAUUUAAGAUUUAUUUAAAGGGUCUUUGUCUUGGUAUGCAAAUAAUGGUUUGAAAACAGAUUAUAUGCUAUUACAAGUUAAUUUUUCUGAUAACGAGUGUUUGACUAGGAUUCUUGUCGUAGUGUAAUUAUUAAACAUGAUUUUAUAAUUAAUGAUUCUACUAUGGUAGUAAUGAUUAUAUAAUGAUUUUAUAAUUAAUGACUCUACCAGGAUUUGAAAACUACUAUGGUAGUAAAAUUGCUUGAAGCAACAGCUUAAAAUUAUCAGAUGGUGUGAAAACCGGAGAAGAUCUACCAAGAGGGUAAUGAAGUUUUCUAAAGUCCAACUGAAAUGAUUUCAGGAUUCACUUCAACAAUGCAAAAACAUAUUUGAUAUUUCAAAACUGAUGAAAUUCAUUAUCAUUAUCGUUAUCUUGGACGUAUUUGAAAUGCAUUAUCAUUAUCGUUAUUUCAAAACUGAUGAAACAUAUUUGAAAUGCAUUAAUUACUGAUGCUAGCACUUGAAAUAAAAAAAUAAAAAAUCAAAUGAUAGCCGUGUUCAAGAAGCGAAGUAUUUUUAUAUUUCAUACUUGGCCGUACCGCAAACCCAAUUUAUAAGACAUGAAGAAGAAAUCUCCUUUAUAGAGUUAUUUCUAAAAUGGCAGAAUCUACCAUCUUGAAUCAAAGUAUAUCAUUAGAAAAAGAAGGAGAAUUAAGGACAUUUUAUCUCGAGAGCUACCUGAUAGGGUACUCCAUUCUUGACAGAGUACUGGCCCUCGUUGUCAUAUUGCCACAGAAUCUGAAGUUCUUUGAGGAAAUGAAUGCUUUGGUGGAAGAAGACCUUGAGCAAGAAAAAGACCAACAUGAAAGAGAGAUGAAGAAAAUCUCUAAUUUUGCAAAUAUGGUCUGAUUGGCUUGUCAGAUAACUAACCAAACUAAUCACUACUUUCAGUGUCAAUCAAAUUCCAACAAACAAUUCAUUUUCUGUUCGAACUCGAGUGGUGAUCAGCCAAAUAAAGUUGCCUGAAAACUGCUCCGACAAAACUCUGGGGAUAUAGUACAUUGCUUGUUGAAAUUGGUGUAUGUUAAUAGAAAUAUAAAAGCCCUUACCGAAAUUUGACCGAGAUUGAAAGUAGCGAUUAAUUUGGUUAGUUAAAACUUACAAGCCCACAAGACCAAUUUGAUUAGUUAGAGAUCUUCUUCCACCAAGCAUCCACUUCCCCAAAGGAUUUCACCCAGAGGAUUUCAAGAGAUCGAUCUUUAAUUUGCCGUCUCUGAACAUGAAACAUGAUCCAAUAUAUUAUCACCACCUAGCAAUAUCUGAGUAGGCUUCUCUUUAACCUUGCAUGUUAUAAAGAUUGAGUACAUAUAAAUAAAAGGCAAGUGCUAAGUUAUAUGUAAUGUAACUUACACUACUCACAUGAACAGUGAGUGAGCCCCACACCAUCACUAUUAAUGUGAGUAGAUGUAAGUUACAUUAAAUAUAACUUAGAGGGAUCUAGAUAAAAUUGUACUCCGAAAAUUUGCCCUGGCCCUCAAUACAUGUUAAUCCAUGAGUUAGGUAAGAGUUAGUUGGCUUUGUCCUAUUUAGGAUUGCUGCCUUAUAGGUGUAGCUUCUAAGCAACAACCUCGGUUAAUGACUUUGUAUUUGAUGAAAAAUCUUUGUUACUCUCACUAUUUUUUUCAAUUAUUAUUUUUCAAGCUUUAAAAAUCAUAUUUAUCAAUUAUUUUCAACUUUUAUUUCGUUGCAAUUGUAACUCAAUUUUUAAGCCACAGCACUCUAAAUAAAUCCUCAACAAUUAAUGGUCUCUUUAACCUUGAAAUAUUAAUAACCCACCUUCGGUCACCAUGAGCCACCACCGCACCACGAACUGCCAUCGGCAUUUAUAUUUUGCUAUCUUUUGACGUUAAUUUUAUACUAUUAGAAUCUUUAUUACUGGAUCUACCCAACAAUUGCUUGUAUCAUCGACAAUAAAGUUUCUCGUCAUUUUAAGUACAUAGAUACAAAACUUUGAUCGUAAAUCUACGAUGAACAGAAGCUCUAUUUUCGGUAUUACAUUUACUGUUAUGAAACUCCAACGAUAAGGAUUCUCUUGGUAUCAAAAUUGACGUCAAAGGAUGCCAAAAUUAUAUCGAAGAGGGUAGAUUACGGUGGUUGGUGAUGGUCAAUAAUUUUGCCAUUCAAAUUUAUUAUUUGAUAAACUAAUGAUAAACAAAUUAAAUAUGUUUUAGUGUGUUAAAUAAUUUUGUAUUUUAAAAGUCAACAAGACAUUGACGGGGAGGGGGGAAGGGGGCAUGGGUUUUGAUAACACAGCAAAAAAUGCAUUAACGUUGUAAUUAGUGUUAUCCAACGCAUUUCAUUUCAAUUACUAAAAAUUGGUUUGUUUCAAUUAACGUUGUACCCAUGAAGUAGUGUAUGCCAAACAUAUUUUUUAAGUAUUGAAAUUGGGCAAAAGUUAUGUCAUAAAAAUAUUUGAUAAACACUUGUUACUAUAAUUUAAAAAUUAAGUUGAUUUGAUUAAUAAGAUAAAAAAUUUAAAAUAUAUUUUUUGUUUUUAUAAAAUUUUAUUUAAAAAUUAUAUUUAUUAUGUAUUAUUAAUUUUUAUAUCAAUUUAAACAAAAAUGAGAAGAAGCCCCAGCCUUUUAAUAGAAAUGCGAAGGCAGUGUUGCAACUUGGGUCGGUCCUCCCAAGUACAGUACUAUGGUACUGAUCAAAGUCCCAACCUCAUCUCAGUUUUGAGGUUUAAUCCCAUAAGGAAAAUAAGAAUAUAUGAAACUAGAAGCUAAAAUUACAUGGUCACAUGAUUGCAAUUGCAUAGGCUGCAUGGGUGGACUUAAUCAUAACUGAGGAAAAGAAGAAGUAGCAUGAACAUUUAUUUUGGCACCACUUUGUUAUGACUAUAAUUUGUGAAAAACAACAAGCUUAUUUAUAUAUGCUACAUUAGUAUUGAAAUGGAGUUAGGUGCAUACAAACAUCUUAUCAAGGCGUAUGCCAUUAUUAUAAAAUUAUGUAAGGCAAGUUCCUUCAUGUCAUGUCCUUUUACGGGUCUAAUUCUGUUUUAAUGAUUGUUGCAUCUUAAGGUUAAUGGAAUGAGACCUGCUGGACAAGUAAUCUUGAGCCAUUUUUUCUUCCCAAUUUUGUUUGUUUGUUUUGGGGAUUGUAAUGCAAAAGAUUUUAGACUGGGAAUGUAAUUAUAUGUUGCUAUGAGCUUUAGUUUGAUUAUAAUGAAUAAAUAAAUGUAUUACUGAAUUUCAGAAAUGAAGCUAGUGGGAAGAAGAAUUAAGCUUAAUUGAGAUUGAUAUAUAGAGGGGUACUGUGAUGAUCCAAGCAUUGAAGGCACAAAGAUCCCUCUCUGUUGGAUUACAAACGAGCAAGGAUAUCAAAGAAACCCCACCAACAAGGCAAUUUAGAGACAAUCUGUUCUACAUAGAUUCACUUAUUCUCUAACAUAAAUUACUUCUUGUGUGUUUUCUUAAGCAUUCAUUGCUUUUUGGGACUUGAUAGAGUGUUGUGGGAGUUUGACAAUUAUAGUAUCUGUGGAACUUAUAUCGUAGCUUUUGUUAUGUCAUGACAUCGCAGCUUAGUUUUAAUCUCAAUUGUUAAUGUCAUCAUCACGAUUCAUGAUGUCAUGGAAGUUCAUGAAUGUUUAUCUUCAGCUAUGUAAAUGAUGCAAAUCAAUUAUUAAAUGGUCAAUUUUAUUCAUAAAUUAUUAAUUAUAAAAGAAAUGAAAAAAUCUCAAUAGUCGGUAGAAGUAAAGGUAUCAAUUUAAUUAGAUCAUAGAUAAUAAACAAAAAAUAAAUUUUAAGUAAAUCAUAAAUAAAAAAUAAAAAAAUUAAUUAAUUACUAUAAGGUAUAAAUAAAAAAUAAUGACAUAAAUGGAAGUCUCAUAAAUAGAUAUUUAUAUUUUAAUCUUAUCCCACUUAAACUCAUGCAUAAAUUAGGAUUAAUAAUCUCAUAAUUUAGGAUUAAAUUUAAAUUUAGAUUUCCUCUGUCUAAUCGAGAUAAACUUACAAAAUAUAGGAUAAAUAUUUAAUCACAAAAUUAAUCCAAUCUCAUACUUAAAACCUAGUAUCCACUAGGAGCUGUACGUUGCAGAUGGUAAUGGGCACUGCCUGCACUCCGCAUUGGGCUUAUUAUUACUAAAUUCACACUCGCAUAAAAUUUAAAUUAUCAAACCGACACCCACAUCUGCUGCGGGUUUUAAUUUUUUAAGAAAAUCCACCCGUUGUAGGUUUUGACAAUUACUAUCUACAAUGCUACCCAACGGAUUUUUUGCGGGUUCUCAUAUUUAAAAUAACAAAUGUUUAAUAUAUAAAUUUAUAUUAAUAAGCUAAAAUUCCACAAAAAUAUACUCAAUUCUAAAUUUAAUCAAAGUAAAUAGAAAAUUAAAAUUUCAAUAUCAAUUCAACACAAAUUCUUAAAUUUAAGUAUGAAAUAUAUAAAUCCAUAAAAAAAAACCACAAAUGCCACGAAAAAUUCAUGGGUGUGCGGUUGCGGCACAAGGGUGAAAGGAAAAUGGGUAUGCUACUGCUGCUCAUGGGUGGAAGGGAAAUAGUUUGGAAGGCUAGGUUUUGCAGCUGCUGCUCAAAGGUGAAAGGGAAAUAGUUUGGGUUUCCUUUAGGUUAGGCUAUGAGUUGCAACUUGCACACACGACAUGUAACGUAUUUAUACUUUACAUUUAUUUAAUUUAUAAAUUUUUAGAUUUAAUUAUUUUUUCAAUUAAAAUUACAUUAAAAAUAUUUGGGGAAAAAAGUUACAGGUUUAGUAGAUAUCCAGGCGGCAUCCAUCGGAUAUUUAGUUAAUACCAAACCCACCCACAACGUAGUGCAAGUUUCAAUUUUUGAUACCAAACCCGCCCGUAACCCACAAAAUUACUAGUAAUGAGCGGGUUUUGGCAGGCAAGUUUGGACGAAUUUACUGGUUUGUAGGUACCAUUUAGGCUUGGCAAAAUCUGGAUCCAGUCCGGGUUUUGGUGUUGCCCGGGACUGGACCAAAUGAGUGAAACUCAAGACCGGACCCGGGUUAAAACCCGAUUUUUCCAGGUGCGGUCCGGGCUCAAGCCUGGCACCCUCGGGCCGGGGUUUUUUAUCCGGGUUUCUAAGCCCGCAUGUGAUAACUCAAUAUUUUUUUUCUUCAAUUUUUUCUUUCAUUUAUCUAACAAUGCAAAUUUUAGAAAAGAAAAUAGUCGAAUAAACUCAUUCAAUCUCAAGCUUUAAAAAAGAAAAUAAUCAAAUACAAAUAUAUAACAUACUAACAAUGCAAAUUUACACAAAUAAUAAAUAAAAAUUAUUUCAAUCUACUUUCUGAUACCUAAAUUCAUCCAAUUUCUAACCUAAACUCAUUCAAUUUAUAUAAAAAAAUAAAAUUAAAUUCAACAACACAAUAAUCACACAAUAAAUCUAAAUAACAUCCAACAUAUCAUAAAUUCAUAAUUAUAUAUAUAUAUAUAUAUCUUAAUUUUUAAAUAAUAAUUUUAACAAAAUUAAUAAAAUUAUAAUUUUUUUUUAUCAUACAAGUGUAAAAUCAAAUCAACUUAAUUUUUAAGUUAUAACAACUAACAUUUAUCAAACAGCUUAGUAUUAUUGUUUAAAAUGCCUAAGUUACCCAUUUAAUAAUUUAAUAUAUAAGAUACAUAUGUAAUCGAAUGAACAAGGGAAUUGACAUAUAAGCAAAUCAAAGAUAUUGUUUAACAAACAAUAAAAUUGUGCCACGUUUUGUAAGGAUGAGGAAACUUAACGGGCUUAACCGGAGCCUAUCGUUCAUUGAUUGUCAAGUUUUGUAAUGAGUACGGCUGCUCGAUCGCCAUCUUUUGCAAGCACCAGCUGCCACACUGCAGACACUUCCACCAUUGCGAAAUGGUCAUGCUUCAGUCUUUUUGUUUUUGUUAUGAGUGCCGCUAAAUAUCAAGAACAACGAGAGAAGGAUGAGAGAAUUACCUAUUCUCUCUCUCUGUUGUUGAUUUUUUUUUUCUCUCUCUUCUCCCACCACAUGCUUCAUUCUCUCGUCAUUCUUUCGUUUUUCUUGAUACUUAACAUUUUUCUUUUGUUAUACACAUUCGAGCAAGUCUUGCGUACAUCAGUUUGUGCCUGAGUUGCUGCCCUUUCAUUUUUACUUUAUGUAUUAAAGCAUCAUUCAUAAUCCUCCUCCCCACUAAAAAUGUUUUGAUAAAAUUAAUUAAAUAUUUAAAUUAUUUUAUUUAUUUAUUGUAUUAUGAUUACCCAAUAACUUAUUUACAAGAUAUUUAAUUUCCUUAUUAUUUUAACUUAUUUACAACGAUGGCAAUUGAACUCCCACACUCACUUCAACGACUUGACAAUUAAUGGUAGGAUAGUAAGCCUUUGAAUUUACGGAUUAUGUAAUGACUUCAAUGACUUUAGGCUAUGUUUUGGAGAUAUGAUUAAAUGCAGGAUUAGAUUAAUGUUAGAAUUAAAUAUUUAUCUUAUAUUUGGCAAGCUCCACUUUGGAUUAAAUUAUGGGACUAAAUUUGAAUUUAAUCCUAAGAUUAUGGGGAUUAACAAUCCCAAUUGAGAGAUGGGUUUAGUUAGGAUUAACUUUAAAAAUAAUUGUCUAUUUAAUUAAUUAUUAAAUGAAUAUCUAAUAUAAUAUUGGUUACUUUUAAAUUAUUUGCUAAUUUUUUGAUAAAAUAAAAUUAAAUAUUUAAAUAAUUUUUAAUUUGAUUUAACCUAGUCUAGUUUAUAUUUGUUUAUUAUAAUUAUAAUUGCCUAAUAACUAAUUUUCUGGAUAUUUAGUUUUAAUUAAUUAUCUUUUAAAUUAUUAUCAUUAAUUAUUUUAUUAUUAAAUAUUCAUAAAUAAUUCAUAUUUAUAUUUAAAUAUCAACUUAAAUGCUAUUUAAUUUUAUUCAAAUAAAAUUUAAUAUAGUCCAUUCCAAUACUAUACCAAACAUAAGAUAAUAUUAUAUAAGACAAGCUAAUUUAAUUAAAUUUAAUUAAAUCUAAUCCUAAUAAUUGGUUCAAUCUAAUCAUGCUUCCCAAACGUGGCCUUAACGUAAUAGUGCCGAUAUUUAGGGAUGGCAAUGGAUUGGAUUUGAUCCAAGAUCCAUGUGAUCCAAAUCCAAUCGGAUCGGAUUUGGAUCGGUUUAAAAUGGAUUUGGAUCGGAUUUGGAUAUUGAUGUGCGGAUCUAAGACGGAUCUGGAGCAGAUAUGGAUCUAUCUUAAUAUCUAAAUCCAUAUCCAUAUCCACUCAUCUUUUAAUUUUAUUUUAUUUUAAAAGUUUCUUAAUAAUUGUGGAAUGAUAAUGAUAAUAAAUUUUAUUCAUAGCAUAUUAGUAGUAUUUACCAUGAAUUUAAACUCUUAAAACUUAAAGGUUAGUUUUGUAAAUUUAAAGGUCAGCCAAGCCUCAAAGCAUGUACAUGCAAUAUUCAAAAUGCAAUCCAAGUAAUAUAACCUGGUAAUUUAUUUUAUCAUAUUGGCCAAAUAAUUUUUAAGAAAUAUAGUUAUUCAUAUAUUUAGUCAAAUAUGGUCAUAAUAAAAAUAAUAAAGGACUGAAUAUAAAUCAUAUUUAAUUUAUAUGUCAUUAUCUAAUGUUGUAGAAAUGAGGGUAGGUGUAUCGUGGAUACUAGAAUGAUGAAGGAGACAAUAGAAUAUUAGAUUGAUCUUACUCCUUAUGGGGAUUAACAAUCCCAAUUGAGAGAUGGGUUUAGUUAGGAUUAACUUUAAAAAUAAUUGUCUAUUUAAUUAAUUAUUAAAUGAAUAUCUAAUAUAAUAUUGGUUACUUUUAAAUUAUUUGCUAAUUUUUUGAUAAAAUAAAAUUAAAUAUUUAAAUAAUUUUUAAUUUGAUUUAACCUAGUCUAGUUUAUAUUUGUUUAUUAUAAUUAUAAUUGCCUAAUAACUAAUUUUCUGGAUAUUUAGUUUUAAUUAAUUAUCUUUUAAAUUAUUAUCAUUAAUUAUUUUAUUAUUAAAUAUUCAUAAAUAAUUCAUAUUUAUAUUUAAAUAUCAACUUAAAUGCUAUUUAAUUUUAUUCAAAUAAAAUUUAAUAUAGUCCAUUCCAAUACUAUACCAAACAUAAGAUAAUAUUAUAUAAGACAAGCUAAUUUAAUUAAAUUUAAUUAAAUCUAAUCCUAAUAAUUGGUUCAAUCUAAUCAUGCUUCCCAAACGUGGCCUUAACGUAAUAGUGCCGAUAUUUAGGGAUGGCAAUGGAUUGGAUUUGAUCCAAGAUCCAUGUGAUCCAAAUCCAAUCGGAUCGGAUUUGGAUCGGUUUAAAAUGGAUUUGGAUCGGAUUUGGAUAUUGAUGUGCGGAUCUAAGACGGAUCUGGAGCAGAUAUGGAUCUAUCUUAAUAUCUAAAUCCAUAUCCAUAUCCACUCAUCUUUUAAUUUUAUUUUAUUUUAAAAGUUUCUUAAUAAUUGUGGAAUGAUAAUGAUAAUAAAUUUUAUUCAUAGCAUAUUAGUAGUAUUUACCAUGAAUUUAAACUCUUAAAACUUAAAGGUUAGUUUUGUAAAUUUAAAGGUCAGCCAAGCCUCAAAGCAUGUACAUGCAAUAUUCAAAUUGCAAUCCAAGUAAUAUAACUUGGUAAUUUAUUUUAUCAUAUUGGCCAAAUAAUUUUUAAGGAAUAUAGUUAUUCAUAUAUUUAGUCAAAUAUGGUCAUAAUAAAAAUAAUAAAGGACUGAAUAUAAAUCAUAUUUAAUUUAUAUGUCAUUAUCUAAUGUUGUAGGAAUGAGGGUAGGUGUAUCGUGGAUACUAGAAUGAUGAAGGAGACAAUAGAAUAUUAGAUUGAUCUUACUCCUGCAAUUACUUCUGAAUGAUAUUUUAUUAUCUUUCUUAUUUGUUGUUUUGGUGUAGAAGUAUAAGCUACAAUAUUUAUUAUAUUUUUGAGAAAAAUUAUAUAAUUUAUUUGUUAUCAAUACAUUUUAGCACUCAAUUUUCAAUCUAAAAAAUUAUUACUUUUUUAUUACAAAAUUUUAAAAUUCAUGACGGAUCUAGAGCAGAUUUGGAUUUUAAUUUUUUUUUUCGGAUUUGGAGCAGAUAGAGAUAUUUAUUUCUUUUUUGGAUCUGGAUAUGGAGCGAAAAAUAUGGAUUCAUAACGGAUCUGGAGCAGAUGCGGAUCUUGAUUUUUAUUAUGGAUUUGGAUUUGGAGCAGAGUAGAUCUAACCCAUAUCUGCCCCAUUGCCAUCCCUACCGAUAUUGAUCGUGAUAAUGCACUCACUAUAUUGGGUGAUACACACCCAACCAUUCUUGUCUAGUUGGGGACCAUUCUUGAUCUUUUUAUUGCACUGAUCCGAUGUUCCACAUUUAGCCACGUUUCCGCUUUUACACAACCAAAGUUGUUGACCACAUCCGAAUUAGGGGUGUUAAAAAUGACCCGCCCAGUCCAGAUCCAAACCGCACCCUGACGUUGUGAGCCGAGUAUUACCCGGCCAGUUAUGAAGCCGGGCUGGUUUAUGAAUUAUUUGAUAAAUUCGGGACACGACCCAUAACUCGGAUUUAUUAAAAAAAAUUAAAUAUAUAUUAUUUUAAAUAUUUAUAUUUAUUUGACCCAUCUAUUACACAUAUAUAAAGUUUUAAACAUUUAAAGUUUAUUUUCAUGUCAAAAUUUAUUGAAAUAAAUUUAAAACUUAUAAAAUUACAAAAAAUAAAAAAAUUAUACAUAUAUAAUAUUAAAAAAAUAAAUUUGUCGAAUAAAAUUUAAAUUUUGAAUAAAUAAAAAUUACGGAGUUGAAAAUAAGAGGUUUCCGUCACGCUAAUUUAAAUGGAGAGGAUAUUAAGUUCAGGCUAAAUAAUUAUUAAAAAAUUCAUAAUAAAAAAGCAAAAAGAAAAUAAAAAUAAUCCCAAUCUGUUUGAUGAACAAGGAUAGAAAAGGAUGAUUGUUUUAUGAGUAGAUUUGGCUCAUUGGUUGGAACAGUUUGGUUGUUGACUUGUCAAGUGUUGAUUGGAUGCUCAUCUAGUGGUCCCCAUAAUGUUAUUGAAUUAUAGUUAUUAGGGUUGGUAAAAUGCGGGUUUGGGCUCAGGUAUUGCAAUGCCCGGACCUGACCCAGAUGUAAUUUUUAAAUGCUCGGACUGGGUUUUAAUUCGGAUACCUGGAUUUUAAAUUUUUUAAUAUUAUUUAUGUAUAAUUUUUUAUUUUUUUGUAAUUUUUUAAGUUUUAAAUUUAUUUUAAUAAAAUUUGACAUGAAAAUAUAAAUUUUAAGUAUUUAAAACUUUAGAUAUGUGUAAUAGAUGAGUCAAAUAAAUAUAAAUAUUUAAAAUAGUAUAUUUUUUUAAUAAAAUUUGAGUUUCGAGCUAGGUUCUGAGUUUAUUAAGUGAUGUUUAAGACCGACCCGACUUCAUACUCAGACCAAAUAAUACCCGACCCACAACGCCUGGAUGCGAUCUAGAUCUGGACCGAGGGGGUAUUUUUACCACCCCUAAUUGUUAUCUUCUUUCGUUUUCGUUUCCAUGUUUCAAGAUUUUCUAAUUAUUUAAUUAUGCUAUUUUCUUUUAAUAUGGUACACGCUACACACACUAGACAGGCAAUCCCAUUGAUGCUCUUUCCAAUCUCAUUAAGCAAUCAUCAUUAGCAUAUUUUUACAGCAUUCAAAUUAUUAAAAAUUAAAAUAACAUCAUUAACAGUUUGGAUUGGAACAACAUCUUGAAAUUAUAUAUCAAAAAGCUAAAAUUAUUAAACAAAAAGAAGAAAGAACUUGUAUACUUAUUGAUUACAACUUUCUCAUCUUAUUUGAACAAUGAAGAUGUCUUUCUGUGUGCACAUGCGCCGUAAGAUGAUUACGUUGUGGGGAAAACUGUGAUAAAAUUUUGGACCCAGUUGCCUUUGAUUUUUCAGACUGUCGAAAAUUGCGGCUAUGUGUUCACACUAUAUUAGUUCAGUUUAACCAUGCAAAGUUUUUGGGUAUUAUUCAUUGCGUGACACUGGAGACAAUUUAUAUUUAAUAGUUGGUUAGGCAUUUUGCUUGAUAUUAUUUGGACUCGUAGGGGUGUUAAAAUUUUUGUUAAUUUAUAAUUCAGAUCUUAUUGUAAUAAGAUAGCAAUUUUUGUUGUGGCAAAAUGUUGUUUGUUACAUAAACAGUUCAUACCAAGAAGAGCAGCCAUAUUUGACUUUUUAGAAGGACAUAAUAUUGGAAUAAGCGCAAUUAAGCAGUUAGCAAGCCUUUAGGAUGGAUGGCUUUCUAUGCAAAUGGGCUAUAAGAAUAAGAUGAUUUAAGUUUAGGGGAAAUUUGUACAUCUAGUUGCCUUCAAUUUUUCUGACGGGGAAAAUUGUGAAAAUUGUGGAUGACACGUGUAAUUUAAACAGCUUAAAAGAAGAAAUUAAGAUUAUCAUAUGAUAUAAUUAUAAAACGUCAAAAAGUGUAAUUAGAAAUUUUUGCUAAAGUAGAGAGAGAAUAAAAGGUCACAAAUUUGCUUUAAUUUACUCUAUGCUCCACGCGGUAUACUAGCUAGUACAAAUUCAGUAUGAUCACUACUUUAUAUAUGCAUUGCUUGAAAGUUAUAUAAAGUAAAUCUCUUUCACUUAUCAAAUUUUAAGUAUUAAUUAAUAAAUUAAUAAUGCUUAAUUAGAGAAGAAAAAACUAAGGGACAGUCCGGAAAGAUUAUUUGAUUAAAAUAUAUUCUUAAAUUCUACUAAAAGUUCAAUAGUGAAUAUAAAGUACAAAUAUAUAAUUUAAUAAUUUUCAAACAGAAUGUUCUUUUUUCAAUAAGAUUGGCUCAUAUUAAACUCUUUAUUAUUAAUCUAUAUUCCAUAAAGUACAAACUCUUUAUUAUUAAUCUAUAUUAAACUACCAACAAAGUGUUGGCUCCACUGGCAAUGGAGUCUCCUUAAGUGGUUUGACUGGAUUUGCUCCCCAGUUUGAGUCGCUGGGAAGUCGCAUUUGUUGGGAGAACAUGUGUCUCUCGGUUCGAGCAGGGACUUUUAGUAUGGGUUGUGGUACGGGCUUAAAAGUGCAUCCCAUAGUUGGGGCCCUUCCCAGGAUACCUCGUGGUCAAAACAAAAAAAAAAUUAAUCUAUAUUAAACUCAUGUCUCUUUCUAUACACAGUUGGCCUCCGUGCAAAAAGCAGUUUUCCGCGCGUAAAUCUUGUAUUAAUUUAGUGCAUGAUCUUAAGCAACAUCUUUGAUUUGCUAUUGUGUUGAUUAUCUCUGUUGAUUUUCCUAAUAUUAUAUCAUUUGUACUCUCUCAUACAUAAUAAAUUAUUAAAUCAAUGGUUUAUUCUUAAUAAGUUUUUUAGCAUUAAUUUGGGUGAAGGGGGACACAAUAGAUACAAAAUGGUUUCUUUGAGGAUUUUGUUUUUCUGUGAAAAAUCCAAAACUGAGAUGCGGUCAUGGGAUGAUUCCCUAAAUGAACAGACAUGUGGCAGAUGAAGCAGUCGUGGGUAAGUAUUAUUAGGAAUUUGAGUUGAUAUUUCAAAAUACUAAUAUCCCACGUUGUUUAAACAAGAGAACACAAGUUGAUUUAUUUAUAAAAACUAGAUACAUUGUGGCAUCAGAAUAAUGUUAUGUUAUAUGUAUGUAACUUAUAAUCCUCUCACAUAAAUAGUGAAUGAACCCACACUAUUAUUCAUGUGAGAAAAUUAUAAAUUACAUGCAUGUAACUUAGGGGAUCUUGUGGCAACAAAUCCCCGCAACACGAAACCAAGCAUAACUAAAAAUACUUUAAAGAAAUAUACGUAAAUUCCCAAGAGUUCAAAAGUUCACAAAACCAAGCAAUCCUUCGAAAGUUAAAUUCCCACUAUAAAGAAAUACAAGAAAUUUGUUCCAAACUCAAAAAGAAGACCCAAAGACCUAUAACUCUGAAAGCUACCUUUGAGACACAAGUAACAAAAGAACUUUGAAAGCUACCUUAGUGACAAAGAACAAAAGAACUCUGAAAGCUACCUUAGUGACACAAGUAACAAAAGAACUCUGAAAGCUACCUUAGUGACACAAAUAACAAAAGAACUCUGAAAGCUACCUUCAGAGCAAAAGAGAAGAAAUUACACAAGUAACAAAAGAACUCUGAAAGCUACCUCCUUCAGAGCAAAUCUGAAGGUACAAGAAAUUUGUUCUAAGCUCAAAAAGAAGACCCAAAGACCCAUAACUCUGAAAGCUACCUUAGAGACACAAGUAACAAAAGAACUUUGAAAGCUACCUUAGAGACACAAAUAACAAAAGAACUCUGAAAGCUACCUUCAGACCUUCAGCGCAAAAGAGUCCCUGGAAAAGAAGUCCCAGGAAAAGACCCAAAGACACAAAUAAAUAAAUAAAUUUCUCUUCUCCUGACACAAAGACACCGCAGAUACUAAAGCUACCUUCAGACCUCAAAAACCCCCUAUAAAUAAAUUUCCCCCUCAAAGCCAUCAGACCUCAACGCCAAUUCCCAAUUUCGCAGAUACUAUAAAGAAAUACUUUUUAAUUAGUUGAAACCUCAAAGAAACCCAGAAACCCUUCAAUUCAAACCUCAAAAAAUGUGCCUCGGAAACAAACCAUAUCAGUGCUCUGUUAUCUGGGAUGGGGAUGAAAACCUCGUUCACUUCAAGUGCCGUGUUCCAUCAACGACGAAGCGAGAGGAUGUGAAGGUUGAGAUUGAUGAACAUGGGAAAUUGCUUAUAGAAAUAAGCAAAGGGGUAAGUUCACAUAGUGAUCCUCUCUCUUCAGCUUCUUCCUUGAUGAUCAGAUUCGGAUCCUUUCUCCUAAGCUUCCUGAAGAAAAAUGAGGGAGACACCACCAGCCCGAUAGGCCCGAUGGAAUUUAACUUGCCAGCGGGUCUUAACACGAAUGACUUCGAGACUGCGAUCGAUGACGAGGGGUUGCUGACUCUCACUUUCAAAAAGCUCGUGCCCAUUCGUGCCCAUUAUCAGCGCUCUGUGUUCUGGGACGAGGAUGAAAACCUCGUUCACUUCAACUACCGUCUUCCAUCAGGGACGAAGCGAGAGGAUGUGAAGGUUGAGAUUGAUGAAGAUGGAAAAUUGCUUAUAACAAUAAUAAGCAAGGUGGCAGGUGCACAUACUGAUUCCUCCAUGAUCAUAUCCUCUCUCUUCAGUUUCCUGAAUAAAAAGGAAGGAGACACCACCAGCCAGAUAAUCCGGAUGGAAUUCAACUUGCCAGCGGGUCUUAACACGAAUGGCUUCGAGACUGCGAUCGUUGACGAGGGCUCGCUAACUCUCACUUUCAAAAAGCUCGUGGAGUGGAAGAACAAAAAGCGCGUCUUUCACUUCAAGGCCUAUCUGCCAGCGGGGACGAAGAUGGACGACAUGACGGUUGACAUAGAAGGUCGCAAAUCCCUUGUGAUAGGCAUUCAUGAUCGGCUGAAGAAAGAGGAAGGGGACACCAGUACCCGCAUGUGCUUGAAUGGCAAGAACUUUAGGAGCUUCAUUUUGCCAGAUGGUGUGAACCCAAAUGGCUUCGAGACUGCAAUGGAUGAUGCCGGUGUUCUAACUGUUACCUUCACUAAACUCAAGCCGGAGAAGAAAAAGCUGGGGCCAAUAGCGAAGAAGAUGCUGGGAUGUUUGGCUGAUGCUGCUCUUAUGCUGAUAUGUGGGGGGAUAACUGAUGCGAUUUGUCCAGGAGACUGCUAACAGGCUGGUGUCAAGUAGGUAUUUGCUUUAUGUUCACGUAUGUUGUUUCUGUCGUUUAUCUGUCAGUGUUUGAAAGAAAAAUAAAAAAGAACUCUGGACUCCAUAGUCUAGACCAGGUGUUCGUUAAUUUCUGUGUUGUGUGGUGUUGUGACUCCAGAUCGAGUCAAGACCAGGUGUUCGUCAAUUUCCGUCUUUCGUGGUGUUGCAUCUCCUUUGUUUCAGUGAAAUAAAAAAUGAUAAAACGCUGUUGAGCGAAAAAUAAAUGCAUUUUUUUUUUUAAUGGUGUUGAAUAUUAAAAAAACAAAACAAGGCCUGGUUUCAUGCAUACGUGCAGCCACAAGAUAAAGGAGAAACUGGAGAUCGGUCAGGUGAGCCAAUCAUGCUACAAAAUCUGCAAUCUGUGUAUAAUAGAAUUAAAAAAAAAAAAAACUGCUUGCGGUUGGAUUUUUUUUUUUCAAAUGAGUACAUUGGUAAUGGUGUCCGUAGGAAUGGUAAAAUCCGCAUUUAUAUUUUUAUAUUCGGAUCUGCAUCCGUAUCCGCAAAAAAAAUAUACGGAUCCGGAUGCGGAUAAUAUUCGUAACGGAUACGGGUGAAUAUUCUAAAUAUUCGGAUCUGCAAAAUUAAGAUUCAAUAAUUUAAAACGUAAUUUAGAAAUUCAAUAAUUUAAAAAUUAAAGUAAUUAAAUCAAAAACCUAAUUAAUAAUUAAAGCAAAUAUAAAAUUAAACUAAUUUGUAAAGGUCCAGCCAUGAUUUUUCACUAAAUUUAUGCUUUUACAUAUUAAUUUACUAAAACUAUGAAUAUUGAUUGUUGGAAAGUAAUUGGCGUGGGCUUGGCAGUUGGCUCACCUUUUGUAUUUCUAUUUUCGGGCGUUUAUGAGUGGUGGGAAGCAAGGGUUGAUUUCGGCCAUUUGUGAGUGGUGGGGAGUAGCCGAGCAGGGGCUGAUUUUAGUUGCUUGUGGCUGUACCCACUACUACAAAAAUUCAAAAUAAUGACCCAUAAAUUAUUACGGUUUUUAAAAAUAACUGUCAUUAAAAUUUUUUUAUAACCGUUAUUAUGUAAACCAUCAUAAUAUUUAAUACUUACAAUAACGGUUUUAUAAAAAAAUCGUCAUUAAAUAUAAAUUUAAAAUAUAAUAUUAUUUUUAAUGACGGUUCGUUAUAAAAACCGUCAUUAAAAAUAUUAAUACGAUAAUGACGGUUUAUUAUAAAAAUCAUCAUUAAAAAUAUAUAAUUAUAAUGACAGUUUAAUUAAAAAACAAUCAUUAAAUAUAUAAUUAUAAUAUAAUGUUAAGUUUAAUGACGGUUUAUUAUAAAACCGUCAUUAAAAAUACAAUAAUGCUACACAUCCCAAAUUUUUUAUCCCAAAAAAUUAUUCCAAAUGAUGUGUCAUUAAUUGAGUGGUUGAUAAUUCUUUACAAGAUCCAAGUGAAUUAAUUGUAUUAUCUCACCAACCAAUUGGUAAAUGACACAUCAUUUGGGAUAACUUUUUGAGAUAAAAAAUUUAGGAUGUGUAGCAUUAUUGUUAAAAAUACAUACUUACAAUGAUGGUUUUUAAACUUAACUGUCAUUGUAUCUCUACUAAAAUAUAACCUUAGUAUUAAUGACCGUUAUUUUAGGAACCGUGGUUAAAGAGGAAAUUACUAAUCUUCAUUCAUGACCAUUUAUUUUAUAAACGGUCAUGAAUAAUACAAAUAAAAAAACAAAGCCGAUUUCUAGACUUGGCAUUUUAUUUCAUCACUUCAAAAUAUCUCUCCCAAAUACCCAAAUUCCUUCCAUCACACGCUCAUUUCUCUCCAGAAUAGCCAAGAUUGAUUGUUGCCCACUUCGUAACCAUCACAACCUUGGGAUUAUUGUGCCGUCUCAGUAGCCACCGAGUUGAAUCCCAUUGUUAAUGCUCCAAUGCAUCCUCAGUUCACUGCCUAGGUCAGCUCUAUUUGACGUUUUGAUUUAUUUGUAAUCAAAUUGACACAUUAUCAGCUCCUCUAUUGAAAGCCCUCUACUUUCCACAUACAUUACUGGAAAGGAAUUUGAAAUUUCUUAUUUAUGAGCCAAAUCAUUCUCGCUCUCUAUCUCUCUCUAUAUUUUCAUUUUAUUACUUAUAAAUCUCAUUAAUUUGAUUGGGUAGGUUUCAUGGUUUUGUAACCUAGCAUUGGAUGACUCUAAACAUGGCUACUUCUCUCAGAGAUUAUUGGUGUGCUUGAUAUUAGUAUUGAGUUCAAUCAUCUGCAAGGUUUGUUUCAGUUCUAAUAGUUUGUUUUAAAAUUUUUCGUUGCCAUGUAAUUCUAUGGUGUGGAUUUUAUGAAAUUCAUGUUUAAUUCAGCAAACUCUGUUUCCUUUAAGUAUUUAGUUCUAUGACUGGCAAUAAUAGGUAGAAAAACCUUGAAAGGGCCAUAACAUUUUUCUUUUUUGUUGUUUUUUUAACUUUGUUUUGAUGUAAUAAAAGUAUUCCUUCCUCCCAAACUCAAUUGAGAGGAUUUAAUUGUUCUUUUCUUAUAUUGAAGUGUUUAGAAGCUCUGAUUGCCACUGAUUUAUAAAGAAAACAGCAAUUGUAAAAUUAUUCUGCCGUUAUAUGCUGUUAAAAACAGCACAUGGAACUUCCAAGCACUGAUUUUAGCAACUGGACAACAUCCAUAAAAUUUUCUCGGCGUGUCAUGCUGCUAUUUGUUGUAAAAAAACAGCAUUGAAAAGUUUCAGAUGCUAUUUUAACACAAUUACAGCAGCAUGACAACACCCAAAAAAUUUUCUAGGAGCUGUCUUGCUGCUAUUUGCUGUUAAAAACAGCACCUGAGAGUUCCAAAUGCUGUUUUUAUCAGCUGGACAGCACUAAAAAAAUUUUUAGGUGCUGUCAUGCUGCUGUUUAAGGCUAAAAACAACACCCUAAAGUUGCAGGUGCUGUUUUUAACACAAUUUUAGCAGCUACGUAGCACUUAUAAAAAAUUCUAGGUGCUGUAAUGUGCUGUUUGCUGUUAAAAACAGCACCUAAAAUUUUUUUGGGUGCUGUCAUGCUGCUGUUCAAGGCUAAAAACAACACCCAAAAGUUGCAGGUGUUGCUUUUAACCCAAUUUUAGCAGCUAUUUUCUAAGUGUUGUCAUGAUGUUGUUUGCUGUUAAAAACAGCACUUGAAAAUUUCAGUUGCUGUUUUUAUCAGCUAGACGGCACCCAAAAAUUGUUUGGGUGCUGUCGUACUCCUGUUUGAUUAGAAAAACAGCAUCCAAAGUUUUCAGGUGCUGUUUUAACAUAAUUUCAGUAGUUAGACAGCACUCGAAAAAACUUUUAGGUGCAUUCAAGCUGUUGUUUACUGUAAAAACUGCAAUGAAACUUUCAGUUGUUGGGUUUAUUAGUUAGAUAGCACCUAAACUACUUUAGGAUGCUGUCAUGCUGCUGUUUGAUGUUAAAAGUAGCACCCGAAAGUUGUUAAUGAAAUAGUGACGAUAAUGAUCAUAAUUGAGGAAAAGAAGAACAAGCAUGAACAUUUUGCACCACUGUAUUAUGGAUAUAAUUCCUUCGAAGUAAAAGGCUCUAUAUAUGGAAUAUUAAUAUUGAAUUGGAGUUAGUUAUAUACAACGUCUUACAUGGUAUGCCAUUAUUAUUAAAUUAUGUAAAUCAGUUCCUUUGUCCUUCAUGCCAUGGCUAAAUACAUUUUCAUGCUUGUUGUGGACCUCUUUGGUUAAUGUAGUGAGACCUUGCUUGAUCUUGAGCCAUUUAAUGGGAUGUUGCACUUGAGUGAGAACGGAAAACCUUGUGGGCAGUUUGAUGCAACUAUUAUUUCUCGUAAUGGUGAUACAGUGCUGCUACUACUUCCAUCAUUACCUCGGAUUCAAGAGUGGAAAGGUUCAAGUUUUGUACAGCUACAGGGAAACCCUCUGCAAAUCCAAACCCCUGUGAAAGGAUCCCACUUCAUGACAAUCUUUGUGGGUUUCGAGUUGGAAUACUCUGGCAGGUUAGAAGUUGUUUCAAUUAAUUAUCUAUAACAUACAAGUUGUGUUACAUUAUAUGACCAUAUAAUGAUUCAUUGUGGGAUACUAGGACAUCAAAAAGAGCUCAAAAUUUCAGACAGAUUUUCUCCCUAAAUUUGGUGAAAGACUGAUGGAUGAAUUAGAACUAAGUUUCAUAGCAAUUUGUAGCUGUAAACAUCUAGAAGGCUGGGACUAAAUGCCAUUUGAUUAGGUUAGAAUAAUAUGAACUGAGCUUAUAAUCUUUGUCAUUCAUUCAAUUACUUUUUUAGAUGUCCACAAUUCAUCAUGUUGAUAAUAUCCAAUUGGUGCCUGGUAAAUUUCCUAUGACUAUGAUAUUGGGUGUUAUGGAAGAGAUGAGAACAUCCAUUGUAAAUCAGCUAGAACAGGUUCUGGAUCA